UUAUCCUCACUAUAUUCUUUUCUAUGGUAUUAUGCAGGAUGAAGAUGUAUGAAAUGAGAAAAGGUGGACGCUAUGGCAUUGGGUUCAUUGACCCAAACAACGUUAAUGAAUACACAUGGAAAAUAAACAAGCAUCAUGAAAAGUAGGUAGAGGACAGCAUGCUAGAGUUCUUGAAGCGCCUCAAAUACAAUGUAGAUAUACUACUUCCUUACAACUUCCAGUGAGUCACACUUUCUUGUACUACAAAUUCUCUGUUUUUGCCUACUAGCUAGCUACAUGUUUUUGCUUACAUAUGCCCACUUAAUUAAGACAUGCAAACGUGUGUGCAUGCAGAUUUCACUGGAUCUUGUGUAACAUUAAAGUUGACGCCAGAACAGUUGAAAUACUGGACUCACUACUCAAAGCAAAUAGUGACUAUAACAUCUUGUUUGGGAUAGUCAACAGGUAAUUUCAAUCAUUAUUAACUAUAUAUCUCGGCCUAUUUAGUUCGUCAUUUCAUGAUAUGAACUAUUUAAUAACCCCUUUAUUCAUUUUCUUUUUCAGCGGGCAAGGCUUGGGAAAGGUUCAUCAGCGUCAUGGAAGGCGAAUGGAAACGACAGCUGAAAUGGUUUCGACCCAAGGUAAGUAAUUAAGUAGUACUAGCUAGCUAGCUAGCUGCCAUCUCUUUAAUUAUCAUGCUUGAUUAAUUAUUAUCUGAUCAAAUUAAAUUCCAUUCUCGUAAUAAAGGCCCUGAAGCAGGCGCAGGGGACUGAUCUGUGUGCAUUCUGCGUUUGCGAGAACAUUCGCAUGAUGGCGUCCGAAAGGAGCAGAUAUCAAAGACAGGAAUGGGUACGCUUGUCAGAACACUAUUCACAAUUUUUACACCAUUAUCGAUAUCUAGUCACACAACUAAUAGACAUGCAUAUUGAUCUCCUUCUUAACAGUCACAGAGGUGCGGGACAAGCUCCUAGAAACGGAGCGCGUAGAAGCACUUCAAGAGAAAAUAGCGGGAUUUUUGCUCGACCAGGUCAUAAAUCCGAAGGAGAACACUAUUACCCGCUACCGCCCCCAUUGACCAGGUCAUGAACCACUUCCAAUUGUCAUCGUGCUCCGAAGGCACCAAUUAGGCUAAUACCACUGGCUCCGAAGGCAACAUGCAUAUGUAGGAGAAAUUGUAUAUAGCUAUACAUGUGUGUAUGUGUGAAUUAAUAUGGUGGUUUGUGAGACAUUGAUGAUAUAUAUAUGAUUGGUUCUACUAGAAAUUCUAUUUAUAUAUAUAUAUAUAUAUGCAUAACGUGUACAAUGUGUAUUAUCGUAAAAUACCAGCAAAUGACAAAGAAUUAAAAUGGAAAACACAAAAUUAAAUGAAAAAGAAAUCAUAAAACCAAAAACCCGCCAAACAUUUUAGUACCGGUUGGUGUUACCAACCGGUACUAAAGGGCUCCCGACCCCCGGAGCUGGCUCGUGCCACGCGGCUGCCCUUUAGCACCAGUUCGUGCUGAACCGGUACUAAAGGGGGGGGGGGCUUUAGUGCCCACACUUUAGUGUCGGUUAUGGAACCGGCACUAAAGGGCCUUACGAACUGGUGCUAUUGCCCGGUUCUACACUAGUGCAUGGACCAGAGGGGAAACCCUUCUCCCACCUAGGGAGGAGGUCAAGGAAGAAGAAGAAGGAGGGGGGAUCUCUCCCCCUCGCUUCCGGUGGCACUGGAGUGCCACCGGGGGCCAUCUUCAUCAUCGCGAUCUACACCAACACCUCCGCCAUCUCCACCAACAUCUCCAUCACCUUCCCCCCUCUAUCUACAGUGGUCCACUCUCCAGCAACCCGUUGUACCCCUCUACUUGAACAUGGUGCUUUAUGCUUCAUAUUAUUAUCCAAUGAUGUGUUGCCAUCGUAUGAUGUCUGAGUAGAUUUUCGUUGUCCUAUCAGUGGUUGAUGAAUUGCUAUGAUUGAUUUAAUUUGCUUGUGGUUAUGUUGUUGUCCUUUGGUGCCUAUCAUAUGAUUGUGCGCGUGGAUCACACCCUAGGGUUAGUUGUAUGUUUAUAGGACUAUGUAUUGGAGGGCAAGAGUGACAGAAGCUUCAACCUAGCAUAGAAAUUGAUGCAUAUGGGAUUGAAGGGGGACCAAUAUAUCUUAAUGCUAUGGUUGGGUUUUACCUUAAUGAACGUUAGUAGUUGAGGAUGCUUGCUAAUAGUUCCAAUCAUAAGUGCAUAGAAUUCCAAGUCAGGGAUGACAUGCUAGCAGUGGCCUCUCCCACAUAAUACUUGCUAUCGGUCUAGUAAAGUAGUCAAUUGCUUAGGGGCAAUUUCGCAACUCCUACCACCACUUUUCCACACUCUCUAUAUUUACUUUAUUGUUUCUUUACUUACAAACAGCCCCUACCUUUUAUUCACUUGCUCUUUAUUAUCUUGCAAACCUAUCUAACAACACCUACAAAGUACUUCUAGUUUCAUACUUGUUCUAGGUAAAGCGAACGUCAAGCGUGCGUAGAGUUGUAUUGGUGGCCGAUAGAACUUGAGGGAAUAUUUGUUCUACCUUUAGCUCCUCGUUGGGUUCGACACUCUUACAUAUCGAAAACUAUUGCGAUCCCCUAUACUUGUGGGUUAUCAGUGCGCCAUUAGUGAGAAAUUCAGAUGUUGUGGUGCUAGUUGCGCACCUGUAGUACGCCAUUAGUAGGCAAAACAGGUGCGCCACUAGUAGGCCUUUUCCUAGUAGUGACACAAACAUUUGUGAAUAUGUCAUGUCGUCCUAUUUUUCAUACAUAUUCCAUCAUGGUAUCAUGUGUUUGCCUUACAUCAAAGUAGUGAUUGUUAGUACCAUGCACGAAUGAGUUCUAAAGAGUGGAUUUUAUUGCUUUUUCUUAUCAGUUUUACUUGACAAUUCAAUAUCAAUAAAGCGGAAGGAAAGUAGCAAGGCAACGGAUAUAGGUGCUCCUUCCAAAUGGAGGGCCUCUACAGAUUCUACUCCGCCACCCCCCUAAGAAGAUUUGCAAGACAACACAUGCAUAGACACUCAACGUAGUUGUGUAUAUGAUGAGCACGUCUUCCCUAGUGCACCAUCACAGGUUCUCCCUCUAACUUGGCACUGUUAUAUGUGGUUGCAUGUUAUGUAUGAUGUCUAGCUUGUAUUGCUUCUAAUUUUGUUGAAUUCCAUCUUCUUACUUUACACAUUAUAUUGUGAAUAAGACACGUGUUCCUGUUUCUAGAACAUAAAGUAUAUGUCUAUCACACCAUGUUAUUACAUCAAAGUACUACUAUUGUGUAACUUGCAACAAUCACUUAUCAUAAGACACAUUUGACUUGGGAGUGUGAUAUAGGUUACAUCUUGCAUUCUUUUCUAGAUUGUACUACUUCUAAUUUGUUGAAAUGGCACUUAUGACGAGACAGUUUUAACUUGGUAGAGUGAUAUUCGUUGCAUCUUUCAUAUGGUGUCUAGAUUUCAUUGCUUAUAAUUUGUUGAAAUGUCUUCUCCUUAGUUUACUCAUCAUAAGCUGUGAAUAUGCAAUAGAAUUAAUGACGAGAGACCUUUAACUUGGUAGUGUGAUGUUGUUUGCAUCUUGCAUAUGAUUUAUUUCUUGUACUGCCUCACAUUUGUUUAAACACCAGUUACGACGAGACACUAUUAACUUGGUAGGGCAAUAUUUGUAGCAUCUUUCUUAUGGUGUCUACCUUCCAUUGCAUUGCUUCUAAUUUAGUGAAAGUCUUCUCCUUAGUUUACACAUCAUAGUUCUAGUUAUCUCAUGUCGUCCUGUUUUUCGUACAUAUUACAUCCUCCUAUCAUGUGGUUGUCUAACAUCAAAGUUCAGUUCGUCUGUAUCACACAUAAAUUUGUUCUGAAGAACUAAAUUGUUAUUCGUUUUUCUUGUUGGCUUGACUUAACAUGGCAUAGAGAAAGAGGAAGGAACACAGAAUGACAAGGAAAAGGAAGCGGAAGAAUCCUGCAGAUUCUGCUGGUAUUGAUGGUGCAAUAGAAGGUCAAAGUACAACGGAAAAUUAUACAAACAAGGUAUCCCGUGCUACACGAGCUGUAGAACAAGCCAAACAGAAACCAAUAGCUGCCACCAAACAAGUAGAGACAGCCCUAGUUGUUGCAGGACCUUCCACAGUACCACCAACUACACGAGUUACUUGUUGCUCAACUCAGCUAGCAGGAUGUUCCCAAGCUCCCUUGCCACCUGACACUACUUCUGAAGAACUCUUGACACAAGACGAGUUGGCAAGAUCAGAUGAACUUUGUGAGCUUCAACAGCAAGAAGGUAGUUGCUCGAGUCAAGUUACAGUUGCAUGCUUCUUUAUAUGUAGUCUCAAAGUUUGAUGUACACUAACACUUCCUAUGUUCGUUGUUGGACUAGCACCUAGGCGCAAGAGGAAACAAACAUCAAGGACAAUGCUCAAUAGGUUAACUAAAUCUAGAGGAGGAAGAAUGGAGAUCCGUUUUGAGGCAGGUUUAAAAAGGCCACGUGAUGCUAUAGAGUCAGCCAAGUUAGUAUUAGAGGCAGGAGUUGCCGUUAGGUGUCAUGUACAUAUCCUCCCAACAUGGAUUCAAUACAGGAAUGACAAAGACGAAACCCAGUUCAACACCUUCCUUCACCAUUUAUCUGUAAGUAUGGUUAUGUAUGGAAACUAGUAAUAUAGUUUUGCUCUGUUCCAUACUUUCUAGGUUGGUGAUAAUGAGACUCCCAUAAUUUUCAAUAGAUGAGGUUCAAGUUGGAUAGCCAAGAUGAUGUAACCAGACAAGCUUACACCCAUGUUUUCAAGUCUACUCUGCGACAGUAUCGGUAUAACUUGAGGAAAACUCACUUUGAAGGCAAGGCUAACAGUGAACUUGCCCAAACAUCUCAAGUGGAAAAUAUAUCGGAUGAAGACUGGAGAGGCCUUUUUAAACAUUGGUCUGAUCCAAAGUAUCAGGUACAUUAUAUAUAUGUGAUCAGAUCACAUGUUGAAGUCCUAUUUAUGCAUGUGCCUCACAAAUCUAUCUUCUUGUAGGUGAAUUGUUCAAAGAACAAGGCCAACCGUAUGAAAGUGAAAUUCCAAUAGACGACAGGAUCUCGUAGCUAUAUUGCACACUGUGAGGCUCAUGUAAUUAGCUGCUGUUUCACUCUUUUUGUUGUACCAUAUUAUAAGAUCUAUAUUGACUUGCUCUAAAUGUAGAGGAAAGCUUGCAAGGACCAAAAAGUACCUAAACCAAAUGCUAUGGAAAUCUUUAAGGACUGUCACACCAGCAAGACGAAGGGCAUGACUACACCAGUCAAAGCCGUUGUUGUAAGUCCUUAAUACUCAUGCCUUUUAACUACUUACUCUGACUUGUGCCUUGAACUGCAUGGUUUGCAGCCAAUGUCUAUUACUCUUUUCAAUUUUAUACAAAAUUGUCUUAGCGUAUCAUUGCACCUUACAAGGUUUAAAAGAGAGGAGUGAUGUUCCUUUGACCUUGAUCUGUAAUCUAGUUCCGUGCUAGACUUGCCCACACAAUAUUACAAUUACCUGUUUGUUUGUUCUCAGUUUGUUUUGUGAUAUGAAUGAUGCCAUACUAUGCUUACCAUACUAUAAACUUUGUCUCUUUAUCCUUAGCUGUCAAUACAAUGUGAAGAAAUAGACAAUACAUUGGCCAUGAUACAUGGUCAUAUGUUUGGAACCUGGUUUAUUAUGUACUUUGCAGUAAAAUACAACUAAUAUUUUACAUGGGUUCACCAGAAUAAGUUUUGUAUAUAGACCAAAGCUAUUUUGUUUGGUUUUGAUGCCUCUUUAAUAUCUACUGUUCUGGUACUAAUAAUGUGAAAACUCAACUUUUCAGCAAGCUAUGGAAAAAAUGGUGGAACCGCCACCUUCUGAAGGUGGCAAGGCAACUAUAACGGCAAUGUCAGCUCUUGCUGCAGUGGGUCAGUACCUGUCCACCAACAGUGCGAAAAGCACGUUCCUGCGUAUUAUUAGGUUGGUUGUUAAGGCAAUCUCAUCCAAACUGCCUCGUGAUCAAGAUAUGCAAGCUCAAAACUAUGUUAUAUCUACGCUCCAAACACAAGUCCAUUCCCUAAUAGAGGCCCUUUCUGAAACAAGGACAUCCAUUGUUCGAUGUCUUCAAGAUAUGCAUGGUUUUGAAACCAGACUAUCAGACAUUUUCUAUGUUGUUCAGAAGCCUAGGAGAAAUGAAGGCGAAGGUUAUGGUGCUCUUUCAGAUAAUACAACAUGAAAACAUAACAGUCAGGUCAAAUGAACUAAGUUUCUGAACUUCUGGUGGUGCAUUUAUCUGCCAGACUAUUAACUUUUAUGCCAACCUUCCUUUUGUUUUAUAGGUGUAAUUUGUUUUGUUGUGAUGCAAAAUUUGUUCUUGAUGGGUAGCCACCGGCUGAAGAAAACAGCAAGCCAUUUUUGUAUAGUGUAGGGUGUUCCCUAUAUUUGCACUGGUGGCGAUCUUUGAUGCCCAGUGGAUGUAAUAUGUGCAAUCGCCUUAAUAGCCUAGCAUUAGUUUCAGGCUUAUUUAUUUCCUAGUCUUCUUUUUCCCUGGUUUGCUAAUGGCCGCAACAACCAUGGGCCAUAUACGGACCAUGGAAACCUUGACCCUGCUAUAGGUCGUAGCAUCCAUGGGCCUCCUAUGGGCCAUCGAUAAAUGGGCCUCCAACAGGGCCGUAGAAUCGGUGGGCAUCUGGCCGUCGGAUAAAUGGGUCUACAUGGGCCGUAAACGGUCAUAAUUGGUAACGGCCCAGCACAGUAACAGGACAUUAACAGGCCGGAGGAAAGCAAAGGCUUAAUUCUGUCACAGGCAUAAUGGGCCAUUAAUGGGCCAGAAUAUAGGACGGGCUGGAAAUAGUGCAGCGGGUUAACAGGCCACAAACGGACCGACUCUGGCAACGGGCCGAAUUUGUCCCAUUAGGGGAACAGGACAGUAAUGGGCGGGAAGUAAUCGAGGGCUGGAAAGGAUCCCAAGAACGUAUUGGCCGUCAGUAGGCCGAAAGCUAACAUGGGCUAGAAACGGCCCAUGUGAAUCAUGGGCCAUUAAUGGGUACAAAGAAAUUUACUGUUCAUUAUGGGCUAGAGUCACUGUGGGCCUCUAAAGAGCCUAAAGAUAGGAAAGGCCUCAUAUGGGCCAAAAGACGUCGUGGGCCAUACAUGGGCCGAAAGUGAAAUGGGCUGGUGUUAUAUUUGACAGCCGACAUGACGUUGUUGGGCCGAUUUCGGGUUAGCCCUAACGGACUAUGAGUUACCGGGCCAUAAAAUGGGCUAUUUGCAAAGAGACCAUCAACAAGCUUUUCAUGGGCCAGCCCGCUAACUUUUGACCAAGUCAAAUGGGCCGGCCUUUGUAAACUAAAUGGGCCAGUGGUGGGCCAUCACACAUGUCGACAUGUCAUAGGCGCCUAUCUGACCGACUGACGAGCUGACACGUGUUUCCUCCGGCCAAUCAGAAUUUUACACAUGGAAAAUUCUCAUUGGUCCAGGCUGUUAACGGGUUAUCGGAUCCAAAACUGGACCCGAUAGCUUAACGAUGACCCGUUACGGUGGAUGCCACGUGUCGUUCACCCUUGAAGAAAGCACUUCUGUGACGCACGAUUUAUCGUCAUGGAAGUGGACACUUCAGUGAUGAUAAUUUUGGUAAUGUCAUGGAACACUUCUAUGACAUCACAUGUAUGACUAUCUUGAUUCGUUCAUAAAAUCGUCAUGGAUGUACAUGCAUGACAAAAAACGUGACCGACCAUGACAAACACGUAUCAUCAUGGAAGUGUAUUUUUCGUAGUGAUAUCUCCUUCUUUUUUGUCUUCUCCACAACCACCGUCUAUUCCACCUAUAGUGCUAUGUCCAUUGCUCAUGCUCAUGUAUUGCAUGAAAGUUGAAAAAAAUUGAGAACGUCAAAAGUAUGAAACAAUUGCUUGGCUUGUCAUCGGGGUUGUGCAUGAUUUGAAUAUUUUGUGUCAUGAAGAUGGAGCAUAGCCAGACUAUAUGAUUUUGUAGGGAUAAGCUUUCUUUGGCCAUGUUAUAUUGAGAAGACAUAAUUAUUUUGUUAGUAUGCUUGAAGUAUUACUGUUUUUAUGUCAAUAUUAAACUUUUGUUUUGAAUCGUACGUGUCUGAACAUUCAUGCCACAAUAGAGAAUUAGAUGGAUAAAUAUGUUAGGUAGCAUUCCACAUCAAAAAUUCUAUUUUUAUCAUUUACCUACUCGAGGACGAGCAUGAAUUAAUCUUGGGGAUGCUUGAUACGUCUCCAAUGUAUCUAUAAUUUUUUAUUAUUCCAUGCUAUUAUAUUAUCUGUUUUGGAUGUUUUAUAUGCAUUAAUAUGCUAUUUUAUAUGAUUUUCAGGACUAACCUAUUAACCCAGAGACUAGUGACAGUUUCUGUUUUUUUCCUUGUUUUAGAGUUAUGCAGAAAAGGAAUACCAAACGGAGUCCAAAUGGAAUUAAACUUUCGCGAUGAUUUUUCUUGGACCAGAAGACACCCAGGAGACUUGGAGUGCAAGUCAGAAGAGCCAUGAGGCGGCCGCAAGGGUGGAGGGCGCGCCCAUGGGGGUAGGGCGCCCCCCGGCCUUGUGGGCCCCUCGGUGACCCCUUGACCUAGAUCAUCCUCCUAUAUAAUAUCAUAUAACCCGAAAACUUCAAGGGGAGCCACGAAACCACUUUUCCACCAUCGCAACCUUCUAUAUCCGUGAGAUCCCAUCUAGGGGCCUUUUCCGGCAUCCUGCGGGAAGGGGAGUCGAUCAUGGACACUAGUAGAAAAGGGGCCUUUAGUCCUGGUUCAUAAGGGCCUUUAGUCCCGGUUCUGGAACCGGGACUAAAGGGUCGGUACUAAAGCCUCCCCCUUUAGUCCCGGUUCUUAUACGAACUGGGACUAUAGGCCCUCCACGUGGCCGCUGCCUAGAGGUCCACCUUUAGUCCCAGUUGGUAACACCAACCGGUACUAAAGGAAAUUUUAUGAUUUUUUUUUUGAAUUUUUUUUUGAAUUUUUUAUUUUCAAAUUUCUAAAUUAUUUUUACCUCUAAUCUCUAAUCACCCCUCAUCACUACUCAAUUUAACCUCUAAUCUCUAAUCACCCCUCAUCAUUCCAAAUCAUCUAACCUCCCGGACGGUCACCCAUCCUCUCACUACUCCAGCCUGAGCACGCUUAACUUCCGGGUUCUAUUCUCCCUCGUUUCCAAGUCUGCACUUGUUGUUUCUAUGACAAUAGUAAGAUGUCAAUCCUAUUAACCCUCAGGAAUUUAGCUUGAGCAUGAAGUCACACAUUUCACUGUUUGAGUUUGAAACUAUUGUUCUAAAAAACAAUAAUUAUUUAGUAACACUAAUAUUUCUUGAAUAAAUAGUUUGACCAUAGUUUGACCACAGUUUGACAAUAGUUUGACCAAUGUUUGACCAGAUUUGACCAAAAUACAAAAAAACUGAAAUAAUUAUUUAGUAACACUAAUAUUUCUUGAGUAAGUAGUUUGACCAUUGUUUGACCACAGUUUGACUAGAUUUGACCAAAAUUCAAAAAAAACUGAAAUAAUUAUUUAGUAACUAAUAUUCUUGAAUAAUUAUUUAGUAACACUAAUACUUCUUGAAUAAGUAGCUUGACCAUAGUUUGACAAGAUUUAACAAAAAUUCGAAAAAAACUGAAAUUUGAGCAUAACUUUUUUUCUUUUAGAAUUUGAGGAUUCUAAAAAUUUGCAAACAGGUCGUAGGCGGUCAAAAUUGGAUGCAGAUUUUCGUGCUGAACAUUUUGAUAUAUUAUACAUUUUUUCUGACAUUGUAUGCAAAAGUUAUAGCCGUUUUACAUUUUCCCUACAUUUUUUUGUAAAACAUGUCCAAAUUUAUGUUUUUAAAUUUUCCUAACUAGUAGAUGUAGUAAUAUAACUACCUCUCGAAGGAUUUUAUUUUUUGAAGUUUUUAUCAUUUUCUUUUGAUUUUUUUCAAAACAAAAAAGGCGAUCCACAGGGGGGGGUUAGUGUUUGAAAAUGGGACCUUUAGUCCCGGUUUGAGACAAAAACCGGGACUAAAGGGCAUCGCACCCUUUAGUCUCGGUUCGUGUCUCAAACCGGGACUAAUGCCUUAGCCGCAUGAACCAGGACCAGUGCUCAGAUUAGUCCCGUUCGUGACUGAACUGGGACUAAUGUGAAUAUUGCCCCGUGACCAAAGCCCUGUUUUCUACUAGUGGGAGGGCUUCUACAUUAACACCAUUGCCUCUCCGAUGAAGCGUGAGUAGUUUACCACAAACCUACGGGUCCAUAGCUAGUAGCUAGAUGGCUUCUUCUCUCUCUUUGAUUCAAAAUACAAAGUUCUCCUAGAUGUUCUUGGAAAUUUAUUAAAUGUAAUACUCUUUUGCGGUGUGUUUGCCGAGAUCCGAUGGAUUGUGGAUUUAUGAUCAGCUUAUCUAUGAAUAUUAUUUGAAUCUCCUUUGAAUUCUUUUAUGCAUGAUUUGAUAUAUUUGCAAGUCUCUCUGAACUAUCGAUUUGGUUUGGCCAACUAGAUUGGUUUUUCUUGCAAUGGCAGAAGUUCUUAGCUUUGGGUUCAAUCUUGUGGUGCUCGAUCCUAGUGACAGAAGGGGAACCAACACAUAUUGUAUUGUUGCCAUCGAGGAUAAAAAGAUGGGGUUUUCAUCCUAUUGUUUGAGUUAAUUCCUCUACAUCAUGUCAUCUUGCUUAAGGCAUUACUCUGUUCUUUAUGAACUUAAUGCUCUAGAUGCAUGCUAGAUAGCGGUUGAUGUGUGGAGUAAUAGUAGUAGAUGCAGAAUCUGUAACAGCCCCAAAAUUGGGUUAUCAAUUUUUGUGCUGUUAUUUGUUCCUGGCACUCAUUUUCAAAAUCAUUCUCCUGAGUUUGUUGGAUGACUCUGAUGAUUCUUAUCAUUUUCAACCUUUCAAAACCUUGCUCAAGUCUUUUUCAGUGGGCAAGCCCUCAUUUGCAUCAGCUCAAAUCCUUUCAAACCCUAAUUCCAAAUUUUUGGAAUUUGGACAUGCCCUUUGUGCUUACAAAGGAGCCAUCAUUUUCCUUGAUCUGUUGAUCAUUACAAUUGUUCCUAGAGACCGUUCUACCUUUCUGAACCUUGGAUAUGCCAAAAUAUUGCUAAUUCCCAUGCAAUAUUUUUGAAUUGUGAUUUAUUACUUUUCUUGCUUUUCUGAGGAAUAAAAUCCAAAGGCAUAGCUAGCCAUCUCCUAAAUUCAUGAGAAUUGGUGGAGUUGAUACUUAUGCCUAAUCCAAGCUCUGGCAAAUAUAUUAGCCAUAAUUAAAUAAGGAAAAUUGUUUUUUCCUAUUUGAUGCCAAUAUUGCUUUUCUACCAUUUUCCAAAGGAACUACUAUUUUUAUAGCAGGGACAAUUCCCACAUAAAUUGUGGAGCUUGUCCUUGUUAUAUAAUCACUAGUUCCAUCCUCAUCUCAUGUUCCUCAGUUAAGAAAGUUGGCACAUGAUCCAAUGCAAGUUUCUGCCUUCUCUGAAAUUUUGCAAAGGAAGUGCUUUAUUCCCAAUUCCAAUGAAGCUGUAAUUUGGCAGGGUGAUUAACCUUGAUAAAUAACCCAUGUAUGCCAAAUAGGAGCUCAAUCCAUUCAUCCUAGCUCCCUGUGCAAUUUUUCAAAGUUUCUGACCAGAAUGUAAUUUUGUGAAGGAAGUAUCUUUAUAGAGUUUCCAAAUGGGAUGAAACAUUUCCAUCCUCUCAAAUAUCUCAAAUCAGUAGCCUCCACCCAAAUUCAGUUCAUUUCAUUGAAGUCUGUGAGCACAGGGGCAAUUCUUGGUUUUCGUCCAAUUUUUCAGUUUGUGAAGCAAGUGCAUUUUACCUUGCUCCAUUAUGGUUGAAAAUAUUCCCAGGCUUUCUCCUAUCUAUAUGAUCCAUCUCCACAAGAUUUUGUCUCAUUUCAUCUAGAAAAUUGUCCUAAGGAUUUUUUUGAAGAUUUUGGAUAGAAUUGAUAGCUAUGAAGGAAGUACCAUUUUGGCAAGUCCAUUUGGUAUGAAAUUCUUACAGCAUCAUUAUUUAUCCAAAUCAUCAGGAUUUGCCAAGUCUUAGCCCAAUCCAACACUCCUAGUGAGUGCUUGUUCAUCAUUCAGUUUCUGGGUCAGAGUUGGUAGUUGUACAGCAACUAUGGUAAAUAGUUAUCCAAAUUACCUCAAAACUCCCAGGACCGUAGUCCUUUCUACCCUAAGCCUCCCAGACAUCCAUUUUACCAUUUAACCUCUCUGGUUUUAUCUCUAAGAUGUUGCCAAGUUUGCAACAGCAAACUUGUGGAGCUUGGUGUACUCAGCUCAAUUUGUCUGUGCUUGUUUCUUUACCAUGGUAAUACUCCACUCUGGAAGGACUACGCGGUAGACAUGAGCUGGCCUCAGUAAAAACUCCGGAGCGCGCAUUGUCCAUGGUGACCACGAGUUUAGCCAGCCAAAACGGUGGUGUAUCCACUGUUCUCAUUGGCAGCGCUGCUCCGACCAGCUCUAGCCUCGCCAUUAAUACAUAACAGUUCCCCCUCGCCGUCCUCUUCCCGCUGGACCUCUGGCCCCCUUCGUUUUCUUAUCCGGCUAGCCGUGCCAACGACAGAAACAGUGCGCUCCUAUGCAUCAUCGCCUUCCUCCCUGGUGUCCUCUUCCUCCGUUCGUCUGCGAGCUUUGCUCGAUUCCAUGAGCCUCUGGCGCUCGUCCGCACCCUCCUCGUCGCCUUCCCGCCGCUUCCCGUGAGCUUUGGCCGCGCCUACCGACACUGCGCUCUCGCUGGUGCACGAACACGUCGCCUACCGCGUGCCGCCUCCUCCCCUCCCCCUCGAGCCCUCCCGUGGCUAUUUAAGCACGCCCCGAGCAUCCUCACAGUCCACAACCCCCUACCCGAGCUCAGAGCCCCUCUCUGACCACCACCGUCGCCAUAGCUGCCACCUCGGGUCUCGCCCGAUUUCGGUGACCCCGAGCUCUCCUCUCCAUUCCUCCACCGCCACCGCAACCCCCAGAGUCUGGCGCUUCUCCCCUGACCUCAGCCUCUCCGUUCCCCCACCUUAGCCCCAUCUUCUCCGGUGGCCGAAGCCCCUCUCCGCCGUGUGCGCCACUGUUUCUUCUCCCGCGCUCCUCGCGGGAAACGGAGACUACCCCGGGGUGUGCCUCCUCCUCCUGAGCCCGGGGGUAGGUCGCCCGUCGCCUGCCGUGGCCGGACACGCCGGCGAGCGCCAUCGGGGCGGGCGUCUCCCCGCGGCCAGGCGCGCGUCGAGCGGGAGGAAGAAGAAGAAGCUAGGCCAGGCGGGCCCCUUCCUGUGGGGCCCCACCUGUCGGUGACCGAAGGGCCUGGCCCAGCGCCACGUCGGAUAAGUGGUGGCGCCCCCGCCGCGAAGUCGUUUUCCACGCGCGAAAGCGCAUUUCUGGAAAGAGCGAUUUCAAUCUCAGAAGGCGUAUUUUUCCUCUCCUUCGACAGAGAAUAUGUUUCCCCCUCUGGAAGACGUAUUCUUAGAAAAUAUACAUUCUGUUUAAUUUACCAGGGACCUGUUUGUAGAAGUAUUUUUACAGACUAGUUCGUAAGCUUUAAAUGUCCGUAUCUUUUUCUCCAUAACUCCGAUUGAGAUGAUUCCAACGCUCCCGUUCUCUGUUCCUCGAGCUCUUUCCAUUGGUAUCAUUUUCAUUAUGCUUACACAUAGUGAAAAUGACUUUUUGCCCUUGCCCGUAAACAGACCCCUCCGAGAGAGAACUGUUUCCGGCAAACCUUUCUGCGACCGUUCCGCAAUUUUUCCUAGAGUGUUUGUCGACCCCCAGGCAAGCCAACCUCUUAUCAUGGGCCCCGAACUUGCAUGUUGACUUUGCUUGUACCUUGUGUGUGUGCAGUUGCAAUUGUUUCAUAUCAUUUUCGUCUGUAGUUAUUCCAUUAUGCCUAUUAUGCAUGCUUGUGUUUGCAUGAUAUCGUUGGCCAUGCUAAUUAGAAUGUUGUUAUUGAUAAUGCCAUGCUAAUUAGAAUGUUGUUAUCGUUGGCCAUGACUCUACUUUAUUUGCAUGUCAUCGUUAUAAAAUGUUAUGAGGAUUGUAAUGCACCGUUGAUAUGAUAUUUACUUGGUAUGGUCAUGUUCUUUAUGCUAUAGUUGUGCACUUGAGAAGUUCAAUAUAUUGUUCAUGCAUUUGUAUGCUGCAUGCUCAUUGUUGCAUUCAUGUUCAUGACGAUGGAGAAGGAAUUAAAAUGACUUAAUAAUAACAAACCUCCUCCGUCAUCGAUGGGAUCGAGUCAUACUGCCGCCAAAUUGAACUUUUUCAGUGCAGCCACAUUUGCCUUAUGGGAAGGCCUUAAUGCGAUCUAUUGUCGUGCCUCUCGCUGGUGCCUCCAACUAGGGAAGGUUAUGCGCAUGCUUACCCUGAUCAGGUAUGCAGACAUAACCUUGUGUGCCCGUUGUUAAAAAAUUUGGUACCGGUCCCCGUGAGGGAUGUUUUUGGCCACGACGGUGGUCGUUGUGUCUUUGGUAGACACGGGGCCACCCAGGACUAGCCCAGUUGGAAGUGGAUCGGAGUGGCUAGGAGAGUGGCAUGACAGUAGGUCGGUUUCGUCGGAAUGCCAUUGGUCCACCCAAAUGGGAUGACGAGGCCAUGGGUUUGGUGGUGUGGGUACAGUGUGCUACCUGUGCAAAGUGUAUAUAAAGUCUAUCGGUAGCAACACAAUUCGUAGUAGGUCCCACUAUCAGGUCUUGGUCGAAAUUGAGGAUAAACCUGAAAUAAUUAAGUUGGUAAAUAAAGAUGUGAUAACAAGAAUAUGGUGACUUGGACUAUGAGAUGGUCGUGAGAAGUCAUGACAAUGUUUUGAUAUGAUCACGAGACGAGGUCUCGGUGAGUGUUGGAGACCAAGUGUUGGUCAUGGUUGUGAUUGCCGGAAAGAUCACCGUUUGAGACCCGGUGUUGGUCAUGGUUGUGAUCGCCGGAAAUAUCACCGUUCGGUUGCGAGGCAACCCAUUGGUAAGAGAGUCCGAGGGACUCGGUGCAUAAGUUUGGUUGCUUUGCAUGAGCAAUAUAUCAUUAUUUGCAUUUAAAGAACCAUGAUAGAACAGAAGAUGGUUGCAUAAAGUAAACAUGCUAUAUCUACAUUGGAUAUAUUCGGUAGUUUAUUUUCAGCAUAGUUUCAUGAUGCCAUGCCAUGCUUUGAUUUAUAUGUUAAAUUAUGCCAUGAUUGGGUGAUAUGUUAUGUUUUGCUAUUACUCUGUUAGAAGCAUAUUUUGUUAUGCCAUGAUUACUACCAUGUUAGUAGAUGUUAUGAUAUUGUUCAUGCUUAGUUGAUCUUUAUCAUGCCAUGUUUAGUAAUUGAUAUAAGGUAGCUUGUUGCGUGCGCUUGGUUCUCGUCUUGUCUUAUGCUUGUUUCGAUGCUAUGUAUUUGGUUGUCUUGCAAGUACAUUCAAUGUACUCACCUGGCGUGUCAUGCCAGUUUUGUAGGUCCUGCAAAAUUGUUCGUUUGUUUCGUCGUGCUAGGCCGUAACGUUGCCAGUCUUGUGAGUUGUGGAGCCCAGCCAGAGUUGAUGAGCCGCCAAACCAAGACUUGCGCCGCCAUUUAUAUAGCCGUAGGGCUAUGCGAGAUGGUUGUAUUCAUCAAUGAUGUAAUAUUAUGCACAUGUAUUUGAUGAAUAUUAUUGUACCUGGAAUGCUGUAUUAUGGACCUGUCGUGCAUCAGGUGUUAUCCUGGGCUGACGUGCGAAGGCCCCCUGCUCCAUGCGGAUCGGGGUGCCACAGAAUCGUUUUGGUCUACUUGACACGGACGUGAUGCCAAUAUUCAUGCGCUUUUCUAUCAAUUGCUCGACAGUAAUUUGUUCACCCAUCAUAAUAAUUUCUAUCUUGAGAGAAGCCUCUAGUGAAACCUAUCGCCACCGGGUCUACUUUCCAUCAUAUAAGUUUUCGAUCAAUAAUUCCAGUUUCCUAUUUACUUUCAUUACAAUAUUUUACUUUCCGUUCCAUAAACCAAAAAUACCAAAAGUAUUACUUUACCGUUUGUCCAUCUAUAUCAAAUCUCACUUUGCAAAUAUCUGUGAAGGGAUUGACAACCCCUUUGUCGCGUUGGCUACAAGUUGGUGUCUGUUUGUGUAGGUAUUCGGUGGCUUGUUGCGUUUCUCCUACUGGAUUGAUACCUUGGUUCUCAAAAGCUGAGGGAAAUACUUACUCUACUUUUCUGCAUCACCCUUUCCUCUUCAAGGGAAAAACCAAUGCAAGAUCAAGAGGUAGUAGGAAGAAUUUGUGGCGCCGUUGCCAGGGAGAUAUAUGCCAAGCCAAGGCAGACCAAGUACCCAUCAUAAACUCUCAUCCCUCGCAUUGCAUUAUUCUUCGUUCGCCUCUCGUUUUCCUAUCCCCCACUUCUAAAAUGAUUUUCGAAGAGAUUCACCUUUUCUUCGCCCCUCUUUCGUUCAUCUUCUUCGUUUGCUUCUUGUGUGAUCAUAUGUUGGAUUGCUUCCCUUGCCACGAUGAAUCCUCCAAAAAACUUUGACCUUCACCUUAGGAGGUUAGACGAUAUUGAAUAUAAUCUUAGAAGCUUCAUGUCUUUGCGCAAUUCGAGCAUAACAAUUUCUUUAGAAGCGAGCUCAAGGAGCAGAAAAGUUUUAUGUAAUACAUGAAUAAAGAACUUGAUGAUAUGUCCAAGGAAUUUUAUGGUUUGAGAUCUCAGUUCGCGCAUCUUGAAAAUUUAGUAGGCCAAAUCUCUGUAAACAAGCUACUUUACUAAAGAAAAUGGCCGCCAAACCAGAGGCUGAAAAUAAUGAUGAGGAUCUUAAAGUGAUUGAUGUGACUCCUAUUGAAUCUUUGUUUUCCAAUGUUAUUCUUGAUAAAGAUGGGACUAGAGACGAGUCAACUUUAGUUAGAAGGUGUCCCAAUGAUUCGGAGUUUUUAGAUCUUGAUGCAAAAAUUGAUAGAAGUGGGAUUGGAGGGGUCAAAACUUUAGGUAGCAAUGAACCCACUCCUUUUGGAUUUCAAGGAAUUUAAUUAUGAUAAUUGUUCUUUAAUAGAUUGUAUUUCCUUGUUGCAAUCCAUGUUCAAUUCUCCUCAUGCUUAUAAUCAAAACAAAGCUUUUACUAAACAUAUCGUUGAUGCCAUGAUGUAAUCUUUUAAAGAAAAACUUGAAUUGGAAGUUUCUAUUGUUGGGGAACGUAGAAAUAAUUGAACAUUUUGUACGUGUCACCAAGAUCAAUCUAGAAGAUGCUAGGAACAAGAGAGAGGGAGUGCAUCUUCAUACCCUUGAAGAUCGCUAAGCGGAAGCCUUACAAGAACGCAGUUGGUGGAGUCAUACACGCAACAAUUUAGAUCGCAGUUGAUUCCGAUCUAAGAGUAGAACAACGACGCCUCCGCGUUCAACACACAUGCAGCCCGGUAACGUCUCCCGCGCCUUGAUCCAGCAAGGAGGAGGGAGAGGUUGGGGAAGACAACUCCAGCAGCAGCAGCAUGAAGGCAUGGUGGUGGUGGAGAGAGGGGGGGCGCCCUAGGGUGGGCCUUAGGCCCAUAUGCACCUAGGGUUUCCCCCUUCUCCCCUUUUGCCGCGCCUUGGGCCUUGGUUGGAGGCGCACCAGCCCACUCAGGGGCUGGUCCCUUCCCACUCUUGGCCCAUGCAAGCCUCCGAGGCCAGUGGCCUCUCCCGGUGGACCCCCGAAACCCUUCCUGUGGUCCAAGUACAUUACCAGUGAUGCCCGGAACACUUCCGGUGUCCAAAUCCUCACUUCCUAUAUAUCAUUCUUUACCUCCGGACCAUUCUGGAACUCCUCAUGACAUCCGGGAUCUCAUCUGGGACUCCGAACCACAUUUGGUAACCAGGUACAUAUUUUCCCUAUAACCCUAGCGUCAUCGAACCUUAAGUGUGUAGACCCUACGGGUUCGGGAGGCAUGUAGACAUGACCGAGACAUCUCUCCGGUCAAUAACCAACAACAGGAUCUGGAUACCCAUGUUGGCUCCCACAUGUUCCAUGAUGAUUUUAUCAGAUGAACCACAAUGUCGGGGAUUCAAUCAAUCCUGUAUACAAUUCCCUUUAUCUAUCGGCAUGUUACUUGCCCGAGAUUCAAUCGUCUGUAUCUCUAUACCUCGUUCAAUCUCGUUACCGUCAAGUCUCUUUACUCGUUCUAUAACACAUGAUCCCGUGGCUAACUCCUUAGUCACAUCGAGCUCAUUAUGAUGAUGCAUUACUGAGUGGCCCAGAGAUACCUCUCCGUCAUACGGAGUGACAAAUCCCAGUCUCGAUUCAUGCCAACCGAACAUAUACUCUCAGAGAUACCUGUAGUGCACCUUUAUAGCCACUCAGUUAUGUUGUGAUGUUUGGUACACCCAAAGCAUUCCUAUGGUAUCUGGGAGUUGCACAAUAUCAUGGUCUAAGGAAAUGAUACUUGACAUUUGAAAAGUUUUAGCAAACGAACUACAUGAUCUUGUGCUACGCUUAGGAUUGGGUCUUGUCCAUCACAUCAUUCUCCUAAUGAUGUGUUCCUGUUAUCAAUGACAUCCAAUGUCCAUGAUUAGGAAACCAUGACCAUCUAUUGAUCAACGAGCUAGUCAACUAGAGGCUUACUAGGGACAUAUUACGAUCUAUGUAUUCACACAUGUAUUACGGUUUCCGGUUACUACAAUUAUAGCAUGAACAAUAGACAAUUAUCAUGAACACGGAAAUAUAAUAAUAACCACUUUAUUAUUGCCUCUAGGGCAUAUUUCCAACAGUCUCCCACUUGCACUAGAGUCAAUAAUCUAGUUACAUUGUGAUGAAUCAGACACCCUUAUAGUUCUGGUGUUGAUCAUGUUUUGCUCGCGGAAGAGGUUUAGUCAACGGAUCUGCGACAUUCAGAUUGGAAUGCACUUUACAAAUAUAUGUGUCUCCAUCCUGAAUAUAUUCGCGAAUGGAGUUGAAGCGACGCUUGAUAUGCCUGGUCUUCUUGUGAAGCCUGGGCUCCUUGGUAAGGGCAAUAGCUCUAGUGUUGUCACCAAAGAGAGUCAUUGGGUCCGACACAUUAGGAAUAAAUCCUAGGUCGGUGAUGAACUCCUUCAUCCAGACUGCUUCAUGUGCUGCCUCCGAGGUUCCUAUGUACUCCGCUUCACAUGUAGAUCCCGCCACGACGCUUUUCUUGCAACUGCACCAACUGACUGCCCCACCAUUCAAAAUGUACACGUAUCCGGUUUGUGACUUCUAGUCAUCCAGACCUAUGCCGAAGCUAGCAUCGACGUAACCCUUUACGACGAGCUCUUCGUCACCUCCAUAAACGAGAAACAUAUCCUUAGUCCUUUUCAGGUACUUUAGGAUAUGCUUGACCGCUGUCCAGUGUUCCUUAUAGAUGGUCACGUUACCAUCCGCGUCAGUCUAAAUCUUAAAGAUCAAUUUAUUCUCUAUGGCAUGUCGAUCAAUGGGCAAGUCUGUCAAAGUGCAUACUUUGUAUUCAUACAUGGAUCCUAUCUCGGAUUUCAUGGCUUCAAGCAAUUUGUUGGAGUCCGGGCCCGCCAUCACUUCUUCAUAGUUUGAAGGUUCACCAUUGUCUAACAACAUGAUUUCCAGGACAGGGUUGCUGUACCACUCUGGUGUGGAACGUGUCCUCAUGGACCUACGAAGUUCAGUAGCUUGAUCCGAAGACUCAUCAUCAGCAUCAUUAUCUUCCUCUCUAGUCGGUGCAGGCACCACAGAAACAUCUUCCUGAGCUGCGCUACUCUCCGGUUCAAGAAGCAGUACCUCAUCAAGUUCUACUUUCCUCCCACUUACUUCUUUCGAGAGAAACUCUUUCUCUAGAGAUUCCAUCCUUGGCAACCAAGAUCUUGCCUUCGGAUCUGAGGUAGAAGGUAUACCCGAUAGUUUCCUUAGGGUAUCCUAUGAAGACGCAUUUUUCCGACUUCGGUUCGAGCUUUUCAGGUUGAAGUUUCUUGACAUAAGCAUCGCAUCCCCAAACUUUUAGAAACGACAGCUUAGGUUUCUUUCCAAACCAUAAUUCAUACGGUGUUGUCUCAACGGAUUUCGACGGAGCCCUAUUUAAAGUGAAUGCAGCAGUCUCUAAAACAUAACCCCAAAAUGAUAACGGUAGAUCAAUAAGAGACAUCAUAGAUUGCACCAUAUCCAAUAGAGUGCGAUUACAACAUUCGGACACACCAGUUCGCUGAGGUGUUCCAGCCAGUGUGAGUUGUGAAACAAUUCCACGUUUCCUUAAGUGCUUGCCAAACUCGUGACUCAAUUAUUCUCCUCCAUGAUCUAAUCGUAAGAACUUUCAUUUCCUGUCACGUUGAUUCUCUACUUCACUCUGAAAUUCCUUGAACUUUUCAAAGGUCUCAGACUUGUGUUUCAUUAAGUAGACAUACACAUAUCUAAUUAAGUCAUCAGUGAGGGUGAGAACAUAAUGAUAGACACCGUGAGCCUCAACACUCAUUGGAGUGCACACAUCAGUAUGUAUGAUUUCCAAUAAGUUGGUUGCUCACUCCAUUGUUCCGGAGAACAGAAUCUUGGUCAUUUUGCCCAUGAGGCAUCGUUCGCUUGUGUCAAAUGAUUCAUAAUCAAGAGACUCCGAAAUUCCAUCUGCAUGGAGUUUCUUCAUGUGUUUGACACCAAUAUGACCAAGGCGGCAGUGCCGCAAGUAUGUGGACUAUCAUUAUCAACCUUACAUCUUUUGGCAUUCACACUAUGAAUAUGUGUAACAUCACGUUCAAUAUUAAACAAAAAAUAAACCAUUGACCAGUGGGGUAUGACCAUAAAACAUAUCUCUCAUAUAAAUGGAACAACCAUUAUUCUCAGAUUUAAAUGAGUAUCUAUCUUGCAUUAAACAAGAUCCAGAUACAAUGUUCAUGCUCAAAGCUGGUCGAAAAUGACAAUUAUUGAGGUUUAAAACUAAUCUUGUAAGUAGAUCUAGAGGGAGCAUGACGAUGGCGAUCACAUCGACCUUGGAACCAUUCCCACGUGCAUCGUCACCUUGUCCUUCGUCAGUCUCCGCUUAUUCCGCAACUCCUGUUUUGAGUUACAAAUAUGAGCAACCGCACCGGUAUCAAAUACACAGGAGCUACUACGAGCACUGGUAAGGUACACAUCAAUAACAUGUAUAUCACAUAUAACUUUGGCGCUGCCAGCCUUCUUAUCCGCUAAGUACUUGGGGCAGUUCCGCUUCUAGUGACCAUUACCCUUACAAUAAAAGCACUGAGUCUCAGGCUUGGGACCAUUCUUUGGCUUCUUACCGACAACUAAUUUACCGGGCGCGGCAACUCCCUUGCCGUCCUUCUUGAAGUUCUUCUUACCCUUGCCUUUCUUGAUGUUGGGGAACGUAGUAAUUUCAAAAAACUUCCUACACACACGCAAGAUCAUGGUGAUGCAUAGCAAUGAGAGGGGAGAGUGUUGUCUACGUACCCUCGUAGACCGAAAGCGGAAGCGUUAGCACAACGCAGUUGAUGUAGUCGUACGUCUUCAUGAUCCGACCGAUCAAGUACCGAACGUACGGCACCUCCGAGUUCAGCACACGUUCUGCCCGAUGACGUCCCUCGAACUCCGAUCCAGCCGAGUGUUGAGGGAGAGUUUCGUCAGCACGACGGCGUGGUGACGAUGUUGAUGUUCUACCGACGCAGGGCUUUGCCUAAGCACCGCUACAGUAUUAUCGAGGUGGACUUAAGGUGGAGGGGGGCACCGCACAUGGCUAAGAGAUCAAUGAUCUAAAGUUGUGUCACUAGGGUGCCCCCUGCCUCUGUAUAUAAAGGAGCAAAGGGGGUGCGGCCGGCCAGGGCUAGGCGCGCCAGGAGGAGUCCUACUCCCACCGGGAGUAGGACUCCCCCCUUUCCUAUUUGGAUUAGGACUUGAGGGGGAAGAAGGAAAGAGGGGGGGCCGGCCCCCUUGUCCUAAACCAAUUAGGUUUAGGCCUAGGGGGCGCGCCCCAUACUCCUCUUGCUGCCCUCCUUUUCCACUAAGGCCCAUGUAGGCCCAUUAAGCUCCCGGGGGGUUCCGGUAACCUCCCGGUAGUCCGAUAAAAUCCCGAUUUCACCCGGAACACUUCCGAUAUCCAAAUAUAGGCUUCUAAUAUAUCAAUCUUCAUGUGUCGACCAUUUUGAGACUCCUCGACAUGUCCGUGAUCACAUCCGGGACACCGAACAACCUUCAGUACAUCAAAACAUAUAAACUCAUAAUAAAACUGUCAUCGUAACGCUAAGCGUGCGGACUCUACGGGUUCGAGAACUAUGUAGACAUGACCGAGACACGUCUCCAGUCAAUAACCAAUAGCGGAACCUGGAUGCUCAUAUUGGCUCCUACAUAUUCUACGAAGAUCUUUAUCGAUAAAACCGCAUAACAACAUACGUUGUUCCCUUUGUCAUCGGUAUGUUACUUGCCCGAGAUUCGAUCGUUGGUAACUCAAUACCUAGUUCAAUCUCGUUACUAGCAAGUCUCUUUACUAGUUCUGUAAUACAUCAUCCCGCAACUAACUCAUUAGUUGCAAUGCUUGCAAGGCUUAAGUCAUGUGCAUUACUGAGAGGGCCGAGAGAUACCUCUCCGACAAUCGGAGUGACAAAUCCUAAUCUCAAAAUAUGCCAACCCAACAAGUACCUUCGGAGACACCUGUAGAGCACCUUUAUAAUCACCCAGUUACGUUGUGACGUUUGGUGGCACACAAAGUGUUCCUCUGGUAAACGGGAGUUGCAUAAUCUCAUAGUCAUAGGAACAUGUAUAAGUCAUGAAGAAAGCAAUAGCAACAAACUAAACAAUCAAGUGCUAAGCUAAUGGAAUGGGUCAACUCAAUCACAUCAUUCUCCUAAUGAUGUUAUUCCAUUAAUAAAAUGACAACUCAUGUCUAUGGUUAGGAAACAUAACCAUCUUUUAUCAACAAGCUAGUCAAGUAGAGGCAUACUAGUGACACUCUGUUUGUCUAUGUAUUCACACAUGUAUUAUGUUUCCGGUUAAUACAAUUCUAGCAUGAAUAAUAAACAUUUAUCAUGAUAUAAGGAAAUAAAUAAUAACUUUAUUAUUGCCUCUAGGGCAUAUUUCCUUCAGUCUCCCACUUGCACUAGAGUCAAUAAUUUAGUUCACAUCGCCAUGUGAUUUAAUACCAAUAGUACACAUCAUCAUGUGAUUAACACCCAUAGUUCACAUCGACAUGUGACCAAUACCCAAAGGGUUUACUAGAGUCAAUAAUCUAGUUCACAUCGCUAUGUGAUUAAUACCCAAAGAGUACUAAGGUGUGAUCAUGUUUUGCUUGCGGGAGAAGUUUAGUCAACGGGUCUGCCGCAUUCAGAUCCGUAAGUAUUUUGCAAAUUUCUAUGUCAACAAUGAUCUACACGGAGCUACUCUAGCUAAUUUCUCCCACUUUUAAUAUUUAUCCAGAUUGAGACUUUGAGUCAUCCGGAUCAGUGUCAAAACUUGCAUCGACGUAACCCUUUACGACGAAUCUUUUGUCACCUCCAUAAUCGAGAAACAUAUCCUUAUUCCACUAAGGAUAAUUUUGACCAAUGUCCAGUGAUCUACUCCUAGAUCACUAUUGUACUCUCUUGUCAAACUCAGGGUAGAGUAUACAAUAGGUCUGGUACACCGCAUGGCAUACUUUAUAGAACCUAUGGCUGAGGCAUAGGGAAUGACUUUCAUUCUCUCUCUAUCUUCUGCCGUGGUCGGGUUUUGAGUCUUACUCAACUUCACACCUUGUAACACAGGCAAGAACUCCUUCUUUGACUGUUCCAUUUUGAACUACUUCAAAAUCUUGUCAAGGUAUGUACUCAUUGAAAAAACUUAUCAAGCAUCUUGAUCUAUCUCUAUAGAUCUUGAUGCUCAAUAUGUAAGCAGCUUCACCAAGGUCUUUCUUUGAAAAACUCCUUUCAAACACUCCUUUAUGCUUUGCAGAAUAGUUCGACAUUAUUUUCGAUCAACAAUAUGUCAUUCACAUAUACUUAUCAGAAAUGUUGUAGUGCUCCCACUCACUUUCUUGUAAAUACAGGCUUCACCGCAAGUCUGUAUAAAACUAUAUGCUUUGAUCAACUUAUCAAAGCGUAUAUUCCAACUCCGAGAUGCUUGCACCAGUCCAUAGAUGGAUCGCUGGAGCUUGCAUAUUUUGUUAGCACCUUUAGGAUUGACAAAACCUUCUGGUUGCAUCAUAUACAACUCUUCUUUAAUAAAUCCAUUAAGGAAUGCAGUUUUGUUUAUCCAUUUGCCAGAUUUCAUAAAAUGCGGCAAUUGCUAACAUGAUUCGGACAGACUUAAGCAUAGAUACGAGUGAGAAACUCUCAUCGUAGUCAACGCCUUGAACUUGUCAAAAAUCCUUUUGCGACAAUUCUAGCUUUGUAGAUAGUAGCACUACUAUCAGCGUCCGUCUUCCUCUUGAAGAUCCAUUUAAUCUCAAUGGCUCGCCGAUCAAUGGGCAAGUCAAUCAAAGUCCAUACUUUGUUCUCAUCCAUGGAUCUCAUCUUAGAUUUCAUGGCACUACUAGGGAAAGGCCUAGCAGCAGCGCGGGUUUUGGGUGUAUCAGUAGCGCGGGUGCCCGCGCUACUAAUACGGCGCCAUAGCUAACUUGUAGCAGUAGCGUGUGUUGACACACGCUACUGCUAUACAUGGUUAGCUGUAGCGUGUGUUGCAAACAACGCUACUGCUAAUUAGCUGUAGCGGGUCUUAUAUCCCGUGCUACUGCUAUUACUUUCAAAAACAAAACAAAAUCUCGAUCCCGUGCAUGUUGUCAAUGGUAGCAGUGGUUCGAUCUAGCGAUGUUUGGCAUCGCAGGAGGCAUGAACGGACAGCUGAAGACCAGAUCCAGCAGUGGCUGUUGGAGACGGCCCGUUUCUAUGGCAGAGCCAGGCCGCGGCAUGGGGCUCCUCUUCCUGACCAUGCCAGAUAACUCCGGAUUGUCCAUGGCGACGACCUGCACGGGCAUGGACAUGGUAGGGUGAGUCAAACCAUAGGGAGAGAUAGGAAAGGAAAACCGAGGGAGAGAGGAAGGUGAUGUAGGGAGCAACGGAGCUAGUCACCGGUGGUGAGGUGCUCCAGUGUGGUGGCGCGGGGCGGCGGCCUCCAAGACGUCGGUGGAAGACCGGCGAGCUCCUAGACGUCGGUGGCGCGAGGCGGCGGCCUCUUACGGUGCCACGGAGAUGGAUGGGCGCAUGGGCAAGAGGUCCAUGUGAGAGCGUAUGGAAAGUGAGAGGAAAGAAUGGUGGAAGAGAGGAGGGAUUUGGGAGAGGAGAUGGGGAUUCGGCUGAGUAUAUGGUGACUUCACCUACCUCAUACUUAGUAGUAGCGAGGGGUAUAAAACCGCGCUACUACUAUCAACUUAGUAGGAGCGCGGGUUUAUACCCCCCGCUACUACUAUGGCAUGUGUUGUGGGGCACGGUAGAGACCGCUUAGUAGUAGCGAGGGAUAAAACCCCGCGCUACUACUAUCAACUUAGUAUUAGCAAGGUUUAAAAGGCCGCGCUACUGCUAAUUAGCAGUAGUGCUUCUUUUUGUGCCGCGCUGCUGCUAAGAUUCUGUGUAUAAGGUUUUCCCUAGUAGUGUGGCCUCAAGCCAUUUUGCAGAAUCUGGGCUGAUCAUCGCUUCCUCAUAGUUCGUAGGUUCAUCAUGGUCAAGUAACAUGACCUCUAGAAGAAGAUUACCGUACCACACUGGUGUGGAUGUCACUUUGGUUUACGUACGAGGUUCAGUAGUAACUUGAUCUGAAGUUACAUGAUCAUCAUCAAUAGCUUCCUCACUAAUUAGUGUAGGAGUCACAAGAACAGAUUUCUGUGAUGAACUACUUUCCAAUAAGGGAGCAGGUACAGUUACCUCAUCAAGUUCUACUUUCCUCCCACUCACUUCUUUCGAGAGAAACUCCUUCUCCAGAAAGGAUUCAUUCUCAGCAACAAAUGUCUUGCCUUCGGAUUUGUGAUAGAAGGUGUACCCAACAGUUACUUUUGGGUAUCCUAUGAAGACGCACUUCUCCGACUUGGGUUUGAGCUUAUCAAGAUGAAACUUUUUCACAUAAGCAUCAGAACUACGAACUUUAAGAAACGACAACUUUGGUUUCUUGCCAAACCAUAGUUCAUACUGUGUCGUCUCAACGGAUUUAGAUGGUGCCCUAUUUAACGUGAAUGCAGCUGUCUCUAAUGCAUAACCCCAAAACGAUAGUGGUAAAUCGGUAAGAGACAUUAUAGAUAGCACCAUAUCUAAUAAAGUACGGUUACGACGUUCGGAUACACCAUUCCACUGUGGUGUUCCAGGUGGCGUGAGUAGUGAAACUAUUUCACAUUGUUUUAACUGAAGGCCAAACUCAUAACUCAAAUAUUCUCCUCCACGAUCAGAUCGUAGAAACUUUAUUUUCUCGGUACGAUGAUUUUCCACUUCACUCUGAAAUUAUAUGAACUUUUCAAAUAUUUCAGACUUUUGUUUCAUCAAGUAGAUAUACUCAUAUCUGCUCAAAUCAUCUGUGAAGAUCAGAAAAUAAUGAUACCUAUCGUGAGCUUCAAUAUUCAUCGGACCACAUACAUCAGUAUGUAUGAUUUCCAACAAAUCUGUUGCUCGCUCCAUUGUUCCAGAGAACGGAGUCUUAGUCAUCUUGCCCAUGAGGCAUGGUUCGCAAGCAUCAACUGAUUCAUAAUCAAGUGAUUCCAAAAGCCCAUCAGCAUGGAUUUUCUUCAUGCGCUUUACACCAAUAUGACCUAAACGGCAGUGCCACAAAUAAGUUGCACUAUCAUCAUUAACUUUGCAUCUUUUUGGCUUGAAUAUUAUGAAUAUGUGUAUCACUACGAUAGAGAUCCAACAAACCAUUUUUGUUGGUGUGUAUGAACAUCGAAGGUUCUAUUCAUGUAAACAGAACAACAAUUGUUCUCUAACUUAAAUGAAUAACCGUAUUGCAAUAAACAUGAUCAAAUUAUAUUUAUGCUCAACGUAAACAUGAAAUAACACUUAUUUAGGUUCAACACUAAUCCCGAAAGUAUAGGGAGUGUGCGAUGAUGAUCAUAUCAAUCUUGGAACCAAUUCCAACACACAUCGUCACUUCACCCUUAACUAGUCUCUGUUCAUUCUAUAACUCCUGUUUCGAGUUGCUAAUUUUAGCAACCGAACAAGUAUCAAAUACUCAGGGGCUACUAUAAACACUAGUAAGGCACACAUCAAUAACCUGUAUAUCAAAUAUACCCUUUGUUCACUUUGCCAUCUUUCUUAUCCACCAAAUAUUCAGGGAAUUUCCGCUUCCAGUGAUCAUUUCCUUUGUAGUAGAAGCACUCAGUUUCAGGCUUUGGUUCAGCUUUGGGCUUCUUCACAGGAGUGACAACUUGCUUGUCAUUCUACUUGAAGUUCCCUUUCUUUCCCUUUGCCCUUUUCUUGAAACUAGUGUUCUUGUCAAUCAUCAACACUUGAUGCUCUUUCUUGAUUUCUACCUUAGUCAAUUUCAACAUCACGAGGAGCUCGGGAAUCAUUUUCGUCAUCCCUUGCAUACUAAGUUCAUCAUGAAGUUCUAGUAACUUGGUGAUGGUGACUACAGAACUCUGUUAAUCACUAUCUUAUCUGUAAGAUUAACUCCCACUUGAUUCAAGCGAUUGUAGUACCCAGACAAUCUGAGCAUAUGCUCACUGCUUGAGCUAUUCUCCUCCAUAUUUUAGCUAUAGAACUUGCUGGAGACUUCAUAUCUCUCAACUCGGGUAUUUUCUUGAAAUAUUUAACUUCAACUCCUAGAACAUCUCAUAUGGUCCAUGAAGUUCAAAACGUCUUUGAAGUCCCGAUUCAAAUCUGUUAAGCAUGGUGCACUAAACUAUCAAGUAGUCAUCAUAUUGAGCUAGCCAAACAUUCAUAACGUCGGCAUCUGCUCCUGCAAUAGGUGUGUCACCUAGCAGUGCAUCAAGGACAUAAUUCUUCUGUGCAGCAAUGAGGUUAAUCCUCAGAUCACGGAUCCAAUCCGCAUCAUUGCUACUAACAUUUUUCAACAUAGUUUUCUCUAGGAAUAUAUAAAAAAUUAAACGGGGAGCAAUAUCGCGAGCAAUUGAUCUACAACAUAGAUAUGCUAAUACUACCAGGACUAAGUUCAUGAUAAAUUAAAGUUCAAUUAAUCAUAUUACUUAAGAAAUCCCACUUAGAUAGACAUCCCUCUAAUCCUCUAAGUGAUCACGUGAUCCAAAUCAACUAAACCAUGUCCAAUCAUCACGUGAGAUGGAGUAGUUUCAAUGAUGAACAUCACUAUGUUGAUCAUAUCUACUAUAUGAUUCACGCUCGACCUUUUGGUCUCUGUGUUCCGAGGCCAUAUCUGUGAUAUGCUAGGCCCAUCAAGUUUAACCUGAGUAUUCCGCGUGUACAACUAUUUUGCACCCGUUGUAUUUGAAUGUAGAGCCUAUCACACCUGAUCAUCACGUGGUGUCUCAGCAUGAAGAACUUCCGCAACGGUGCAUACUCAGGGAGAACACUUAUACUUUGAUAAUUUAGUGAGGGAUCAUCUUAUAAUGGUACCGUCAAUCAAAGCAAGAUAAGAUGCAUAAAAGAUAAACAUAACAUGCAAUCAAUAUAAGUGAUAUGAUAUGGCCAUCAUCAUCUUGUGUUUGUGAUCUCCAUCUCCGAAGCACCUCCAUGAUCACCAUCAUCACCGGCGCGGCACCAUGAUCUCCAUCGUAGCAUCGUUGUCGUCUCGCCAAUCUUAUGCUUCCAUGACUAUCGCUACUGCUUAGUGAUAAAGUAAAGCAUUACAGGGCGAUUGCAUUGCAUACAAUAAAACGACAACCAUAUGGCUCCUGCCAGUUGCUGAUAACUCGGUUACAAAAGAUGAUCAUCUCAUACAAUAAAAUUUAGCAUCAUGUCUUGACCAUAUCAGAUCACAACAUGCCCUGUGUGACGCCCGGAUAUUUAAGCUACAUUAAAUUCUCUGCUAAUGACGCCACGUCACUUCGAUUACUAUUGCUAAUCUCACGUUAGUUCGAAACCGAUUCUAAUUCAAAUUUAAAAAUAUGGCAAACAAUAAAAGUUUUCAAAAGGUCAAAACUAAAAUGUUCUUGUUCUGACAAAUAAUUCACAAGAUAUAUUGGUGGAGAAAACUAGUUUUUAUAAAAUGUUUAAAUGCACUAAACUAAUUAAAUUAGUAGCUAUAACCAAUAAUCAAAUGCUUUUUGUUACAUAUAAAAUACUAAACUAAAUUAUUUGGGAGCCCAAGUUAUUGUGGCAUUAGCAUAUGUAGUAACACUAUUUUUAGGAACAAGUUAUAUAUUUUACAAAACUAGAAUAAAUAGAAUAUAAAAUAAAACUGUAAAAAGGAAGAGUAAAACAAAAUAAGAAAAAAAAGAGAACGAAGAGACCCCUGACUUCCCCUGGGCCUCAGCCCACUCCCACCAGUCGGCCCAUCUAUUCCCCAUAACCACCCCCCUCCGUGACCUAAACCGCUACCCCCCCCCCACUACACACGCACUCCCNNNNNNNNNNNNNNNNNNNNNNNNNNNNNNNNNNNNNNNNNNNNNNNNNNNNNNNNNNNNNNNNNNNNNNNNNNNNNNNNNNNNNNNNNNNNNNNNNNNNNNNNNNNNNNNNNNNNNNNNNNNNNNNNNNNNNNNNNNNNNNNNNNNNNNNNNNNNNNNNNNNNNNNNNNNNNNNNNNNNNNNNNNNNNNNNNNNNNNNNNNNNNNNNNNNNNNNNNNNNNNNNNNNNNNNNNNNNNNNNNNNNNNNNNNNNNNNNNNNNNNNNNNNNNNNNNNGGGGCAACGCCCCCGACACCGCUCGUGACCCACCCCGCCGCGCCUCCGUCCUCCUCCUCGGCGUCACCUCGUCGGCGCCGCCUCACCACCUCCACCUCGCCGACGCCGCUUCGUCGCCGGACCACCUCGGUCACCCCGUCGCCGCUCGGAUCGUCGCCCUGCUGCUCGUCCUCAUCUCCCUCCUCACCGGACACCAUGGACGCGCGCCGCUCCGCCACGACACAAACGCCUUGACCUCGUCGUCGUCCUCAUCCUCCUCGAGCCCGCUGCCACUCCCCUACAUCGCCCGUGAGCACCUCCCCCCAUCCCCGUUCGCGUGCGCCGUCCGCCCCCCCGGCCUCUCCUUCUCUCCCAGUCCCCGUGGCCUGCUCCGACCGCUCGUCCCUCGCGUUGCCCGCGCCCCUCGCCCUACGACGCCGCUGCUUUGCUUGGCCCCGCGUCGGCCCGCCUCCCAUGCUCGCCGGCCCCCUACCUCGCGCGCGGCAUCGCACGCUCACGCCGCGCGCUCCGGCCACCGCCAACAUCACCGCCCGCCCGCGCCUGUCUCUUGCGCCGGCCGUCUUCGCCCCUGCCGCGUCGCCCGCAUCUGCCCCCUGGCCGCUCACCGCCGUGCGCGUGCAUCAGCGCUUGGACGCGCCCCAGCUCGCCGGCGCGCGCCCACGCCCCACCGCACGCCCCUGCUCCCCUCGUCCCGCUUAGGCCGCGACCAUCGCCGUCGGCGCCAAGCUGCGCAGCCCGCGCCCGUGGCCGUUUCGCCUGUACACCCGAAUGGUCAACUGGGUCCCUCUAGCCCACCUGUCGGUCAUUGGGUACACUUUUGUGUACACUGUGCUGGGUGCGCCUAGCAAUUUAGCAAUUAUUUUCGAAUUAAAAAUAAUUAAUAAAAUUAAUAAAAUCUUUAGAAAAUCAUAUCUUUUAAUCCAUAGCUCGGAUGAAAAAACUUUGUACAUGAAAGUUGGUCAGAACGACGAGGCGAAUCCGGAUACGCAACCCGUUCAUCUGCCACGCAUCCCUACCAUAGCAAACACGCAGCUUUCCCCCUCCGGUUCGUUUGUCUGAAAACGCGAAACACCGUGGAUAAUUUAUCGGAUGUUUCCCCCCUUCACCGGUACCACCUCGUACCGCGUUAGGGCACACAUAGCUUUACGCUUUGCCAUGUCAUGCAUCGUCAUGCAUUUGUUUGCAUUAUAUUUAUUGUUUCUCCCCCCUCUCCUCUCGCUAGACACCGAGACCGACGCCGCUGCUACCCAGUACGACUACGGAGUUGACGACCCCUCUCUCUUGCCAGAGCAACCAGGCAAGCCCCCCCUCCCCUUGAUCACCAGAUAUCGCCUACUCUCCUCUAUAAUGCUUUGAUUAGAGUAGUGUAGCAUGUUACUGCUUUCCGUUAAUCCUAUCCUAAUGCAUAGUCUAUCCUUGCUACUACUGCCGUUACCUUUACCUGCAAUCCUAAUGCUUAGUAUAGGAUGCUAGUUUAUCAUUAGUGGCCAUACAUUCUUGGCCGUCUGCCAUGCUAUACUAUCGGGCCGCGAUCACUCAGGAGUUGAUCACGGGUAUAUACAUAUACAUAAUAUAUGAAACUUGUGUUGACUAAAGACGGGUCGGCUCAUAGGAGUACCCGCGAGUGAUUCACGGAUUGGGUCCAAAAGGACGUUUGUCCCGACGGCCCUCUGAGUGGAACUUUGUGGCAAAGCAAUAUGGCAGGUUGAGACCACCUAGGAGAGAGGUGGGCCUGGCCCUGGUCGGCGUUCGCGGUUAUUUCAAAAUAACACGUUUAACGAGAUCUUGGUAUUUGAUCUGAGUCUGGCUACUGGCCUAUACGCACAAACCAUCUACGCGGAGACAGUUAUGGGCACUCAACGUCGUGGUAUCAGCCGAAGCCUUCGUGAUGUCAGCGACUGAGCGGCGCGCGCCGGAUUGGAACGUAAGCCUGCUCUUGUAUUAAGGGGGCUAGUUCUGCUUCCGGCCACCCUCGCAACAUGCAGGUGUGCAAUGGGCGAUGGGCCCAUAACCCUGCGCCAUAGGAUUUAGACCGGCGUGCUGACCUUUCUGUUGUGCCUAGGUAGGGCUGCGACGUGUUGAUCUUCCGAGGCCGGGCAUGACCCAAGAAAGUGUGUCCGGCCAAAUGGGAUCGAGCGUGUUGGGUUAUGUGGUGCACCCCUGUAGGGAAGUUAAUCUAUUCGAAUAGCCGCGAUCUUCGGUAACAGGACGACUUGGAGUUGUACCUUGACCUUAUGACAACUAGAACCGGAUACUUAAUAAAACACACCCUUCCAAGUGCCAGAUACAACCGGUGAUCUCUUUCUCAUAGGGCGACGAGGGGAGGAUCAUCGGUUAGGAUUAUGCUACAUGUUGCACCCUGGUGAACUUACCAUCUACUCUCUUCUCCUACUUCAAGAUGGAGGUUACCAGAAGCGUAGUCUUCGAAAGGACUAGCUAUCCCCCUCUUAUUCCAGCAUUCUGCAGUUCAGUCCACAUAUGAUACAUAUGUAGUGUAGCUCUUUGCUUGCGAGUACUUUGGAUGAGUACUCACGGUUGCCUUUCUCCCCCUUUUUCCCCUUUCCUAUACCCGUUUGCUUCGACCAAACAUUGGAGUCCAAGAGCCAGACGCCACUGUCGAUGACGACUACUACUACUCGGGGGGUGCCUACUACUACGUGCAGCCCGCUGGCGACGACCAGGAGUAGUUUAGGAGGAUCCCAGGUAGGAGACCUGCGCCUCUUUCGAUCUGUAUCCCAGUUUGUGCUAGCCUUGUUAAGGCAUUCUUGUUUAACUUAUGUCUGUACUCAGAUAUUGUUGCUUCCGCUGACUCGUCUAUGAUCGAGCUCUUGUAUUCGAGCCCUCGAGGCCCCUGGCUUGUAAUAUGAUGCUUGUAUGACUUAUUUUUAUUUGUAGAGUUGUGUUGUGAUAUCUUCCCGUGAGUCCCUGAUCUUGAUCAUACACGUUUGCGUGUAUGAUUAGUGUAUGAUUGAAUCGGGGGCGUCACAAGUUGGUAUCAGAGCCGACUGCCUGUAGGAAUCCCUCUUUCCAACUCCUUGGCUGAAGUCGAGUCUAGUCAUUGAAUUUUUUACUAACAUGGAUGUGUGGCUUACGGGCCCACGUCGCCAUUGGGUGGUAUUAGGAUCUUUUACUCCUUGUCUAUACUAUGGGACUCUGAUCUCUCUUCUAUUCGUGUUAAAUGAAUUUUGCUAAAUCUAACAUUAGGAUCUCGUUAUCACUUUCACCCAGAAAGCCCCUUAUUACUGAUGAUCAUCUGCUGCACGUGAAGACCCUGAAGAUACUCUCCGCUGUUAACUGAGAACUUGUGUUCAUCACGUUUGCAAUUCCUAUUCCACCGUCAACCCUUAUGGAUAACUACUUGUAGUUGUUAUUCUUACAUUCAUCCCCAGUUGGUCUUGUUAUUACAAGAUACCCCGAAAUACUCGUCAUUGUUUCGAUAAUCCUUUGAGCUUACUGCCUUGCUGUUCUUUGUCAUCUGAAUACGCCCAUGGAAAAUUCUCGCCCUUAUCGAGUAUCCGCUCAUCCCCCAAUUGUUCAUGUGUUUCACAAUGGUCUUUGAAAUACUAUUCGAUCCUCCAAAAUUCCUCAGUAGCUUAUUGCUCUGCAAUACUUGUCUGCUUGCAUUAUGGAUGCUUUCCAUAUGUCUGGCAAUAUUCGUUAGUAUCCUUAGACACCGUGAUUUUGAUCCUAUUGAUUCAACAUGAGUGCGAAUGCACGCAAUCAUCAGUUGAACCUUUUAAAUUAUCUUUCUGGCUCAGACUGAGCUGGUUCUCAACCAAUCCAAUUGUCGUCCAUUGUACCCCUAAGGCUAUUCAACUUAUCCAUCCCUAAUCAGAACAUUGCUUCUGAUCCCUUGAUUUGAAAAUCAUAAUUCCUUUGCAUUUGAGCUCUGGAUUAGUCAGUUGUUUCCAUAAUCCAAUGCCUUUGCAUUGUUACUUCCUCUGGUUGUGUGUCGAUGCUCACGUCAGCUCUGUUAUGGACCGGCAGAUCCUUUAAUGGAUUUUAUCCAAUAGCGUCCUUCAUAUUCAAUAACGUUGUGAGCCUCCCCUCGGAUACAUAAUGCCUUUGGUAAAUUGUAUCAUCUACUUUCUCAACCUUGCUCUACUUUUGAGCUUGUUAUAUUUACUCUUGAAACUUGUGGUAUAUGUUUCUAAGAAGCCCCUAUGGGUUGAACAUAUGCCUUCUCUAAACUAUGUGAACUCGAAAGUUUUCACAAGUCCUACACUUCUGGUAUUUUGCUAGAUGAAAUUUCAACACUACAACUUCUUCGAAAGUGACAAGUGAAUGAAAGGUUAUGCAUUGGAGAAGUGGGAAUCGACCUUGAACUUUGUGUUCAUGCCCAUGGACACGAUGUAGAUCUUAUCAUUAAAGCUUCUUUCAAAUUAAAUUAUUCCUUUGGUAUAAGUUCAUCUUAUAUCCGGGAUCUGGCCUUUUGCAAUCGUGGUUCCGACCAUGUUCUCCUUUAAAUACCAUUUCACGUGCAAGUUUGAGAACUUGUCUUCUGCAGAGCAUUACCCUAUUCCAACCUCUACUAUGACUUGUCGUCGAGUAUUACCCCCUGGUAUCUUGAGAUUAUCAUGGAACUACAUAUUUCUUAUGAGUUCUUCAUCAAGUGCUACAUUCUCACUGAUUCCAAUUUUUCACGGGCUCUGAGUUAUUAAACACUCAAAGACACCGAUAACUGACUGAAGUCUGCACCGCGAUUAAACAAAUCAUGGUAACCUUCAUGACUUAUUAGUUUGAACUCGAUCACGUCAUUCCUAGCCUGCUUGGCUAUAUCCUUGUCAUGCCGAUUUUAACUGUGCUACCUGGUCCUUCCUAGAGCAAAAAUUUCGAGGUGAGCUAAUCUUACGUCGAUCUUCCUCGUCAUAACAAUUGUCCUUGAAUGACAAGCUUGAUUUCAAGUUUGUGUCGUACCUAUGGUUUCAAUGACUUCUCGCUUCAUCAUUCCGUUAACUUGAUGUCAUCGCCGAUCGGUUACAUCUUCUUGAAACCUCUCAACAAAAUGUGUCGUGAUCAUCAUCAACAUUUUGACCCCUUCCAAGAUAUCAAUUGAAUUCAUGAUGAGAAUUACCCUCCUUGCCCUCGAUGGUUUGUGUUAUCAUCGACCACUUUAUUGCCUUCCGUUCAACACAAACUUGUUCGUGUUUCUAGCAACCCUAUUGCUUUCAAGUUAAUGGUCGAUAUUUCAUUCUUAGACUAUUGCUUGUUGAAUCACCUUUCUAACAUUGAUGAUGCUACCUAAGACCAUAUUUUGGGUCCACUUUUCAACCAAUGCUUAAUUGUGUAUGUUUUCCUCGAGCAUACAUCCUUAUAUCAUUUGAUCCGACAAAUGUUAUCUCCUUGUUCACAUAAGUGCGGAAAUCCAUCUUUUGAAAAUCUCAACGAAUUGUCGCUGAGUUCAUUAGCCACCUCUUCAUUCUCCCCUUGGUUUUAAUGAUGAACUCUUGUUUUGGAACUCGCUUCCAUAGUACAUUUCCCGAGAAUCUUACAUUGUCGUCUCGUCAAUUGUGCUGCACCUUUUCUUCUCAGGCAUCCUGAGUUUGAGGCAUCCUGGCACCAAUCAGAUCUGAAUCUCAGUCAGAUAUGAUGGUUGGAACAUAUUUCCAAGAGUUAUUACAUUGGUCCUGAUAUAUCGGUAAGGUGGGGUCAUGCCUAUCACACCUGGCGAGAGGACUUGUUGUUAUAGAUUCCUUUUCAGCAAGGUUAUCCCUUCUUCCAUUAGGGAAUUGUGAGACCUAUUCUUCAAGUUAUUCCUGAUGGAUCCUUUGUGUCUCCAGAGUCUGAUCUUCACCCAUUGACCAUGUCAAUGCUAUCUCGAGGCAUGUCUGAGGUACUCCGAUUUUCAAAGAGAACAUUUGAAGCCCAAUGCUAAAUGUUUCCUGCUCAAUUACCCAAACACCACUGUAUGGGUAAUGUCAUGAAAUCCCCCCCUUACCUAAAUGGUUUUCUACAUUAUAUCAUGUCAAGGAAAUCAUGCUUUGCUUGUCCUUGGGAAGGAUAUACCCCUAAAAUAUGUGUUUAAACACAUUUUCCUUUCCAUUGUUUGGUUUAAUCUUUCUUGUGAUAUAUAUGAUCUAAGUAGUAAUAUUCUCCUACUUUUGUAAGCACCUCCGUGUACAACUCUGUUGGUAAGAACCUGUUACUAUUGUUGACAACAUUCCGGUAUCCACCGAUGGACGAGAACUUUGCCUAUUGGUCUGCCUCGUUUCAACGAGCAGGAGAACGGUUCUCUUCGUCCCUCGCCCUUGGUACCGAUGUUGUUGCCAACAUAACUGAUAGGCUAUCCUCUGACAUGCCUUUGUUAUCAUGACUGUACAAGAUAUCACCGCCCUUUCUACUUUUAACCUACAUGGUGGGCCCAUAACCCACAGUUCCAUAGGAUCGAAACCUGACUCUCCUGUACACCCUGUUGUCCAAGUUAUUCCUCGCGCUUGACUUCGUAUAUGAUUCACGGGCCACAUGCCUAGUGAUCUAUUCUGGUAUCAGACACAAAACUUAUUCCCAUUGCUCUGGAACCCUUUUUUCACUUUGUUUCAGGUAUCGAACGAUUGCCUACCCGCUUCAAACUCAUCGUGGUAACUUCUUUCUUUGCUCUCGAUGUUUUCUUAAGUUUCAGUUCGAGAGUUAAUUUUCGCCACCUUCCCCAAUGUUAGCUACCAGAUAAUCAACCUUGCAGAGGUCCGUUCUCCUGGAAUAACCCUGCCUUAUUGUAUCAUAAGUACGAUGGAGUUCUCGAAGAAAGGAUGCCAACUUCAUCAUUAUGACCAGAAGCAAAGAAUUGAAGACAACAACGAAAGGGAUUAACUUCUUCGAGAAGAACAGCCAAGACCGAGAAGACCCGCUAGAUUUGUUACCAAACCUUCCCCCUCUUUCGCUACCUCUUAAAUCUCGGGACGAGAUUUCUUGUAGUGGAGGAGAAUUGUGACGCCCGGAUAUUUAAGCUACAGUAAAUUAUCUGCUAAUGACGCCACGUCACUUCGAUUACUAUUGCUAAUCUCACGUUAAUUCGAAACCGAUUCUAAUUCAAAUUUAAAAAUAUGGAAAGCAACAAAAGUUUUCAAAAGGUCAAAACUAAAAUGUUCUUGUUCUUACAAAUAAUUCACAAGAUAUAUUGGUGGAGAAAACAAGUUUUUAUAAAAUGUUUAAAUGCACUAAAAUAAUUAAAUUAGUAGCUAUAACCAAUAAUCAAAUGCUUUUUGUUACAUAUAAAAUACUAAACUAAAUUAUUUGGGAGCCCAAGUUAUUGUGGCAUUAGCAUAUGUAGUAACACUAUUUUUAGGAACAAGUUAUAUAUUUUACAAAACUAAAAUAAAUAGAAAAUAAAAUAAAACAGUAAAAAGGAAGAGUAAAACAAAAUAAGAAAGAAAAAAAGAGAACGAAGAGACCCAUGGCUUCCCCUGGGCCUCAGCCCACUCCCACCAGCCGGCCCACCUAUUCCCCAUAACCACCCCCCUCCGUGACCUAAACCACUACCCCCUCCACUACACACGCACUCCCCCCCCCACCCCUACUCCCCCGAUCCCCUUCUGGAUCGNNNNNNNNNNNNNNNNNNNNNNNNNNNNNNNNNNNNNNNNNNNNNNNNNNNNNNNNNNNNNNNNNNNNNNNNNNNNNNNNNNNNNNNNNNNNNNNNNNNNNNNNNNNNNNNNNNNNNNNNNNNNNNNNNNNNNNNNNNNNNNNNNNNNNNNNNNNNNNNNNNNNNNNNNNNNNNNNNNNNNNNNNNNNNNNNNNNNNNNNNNNNNNNNNNNNNNNNNNNNNNNNNNNNNNNNNNNNNNNNNNNNNNNNNNNNNNNNNNNNNNNNNNNNNNNNNNNNNNNNGAUCGGGGCAACGCCCCCGACUUCGCUCGUGACCCACCCCGCCACGCCUCCGUCUUCAUCCUCGGCGUCACCUCCUCGGCGCCGCCUCACCGCCUCCACCUCGCCGACGCCGCUUCGUUGCCGGACCGCCUCGGUCACCCCAUCGCCGCUCGGAUCGCCGAGCCGCUGCUCGUCCUCAUCUUCCUCCUCGCCGUACGGCGUGGACGCGCGCCGCUCCGCUGCGACACCAACGCCUCGACCUCGCCGUCGUCCCCGUCCUCCUCAAGACCGCUGCCACUCCCCUACAUCGCCCGUGAGCACCUCCCCCCGUCCCCGUUCGCGUGCGUCGUCCGCCCCCCGGCCUCUCCUUCUCUCCCUGUCCCCGUGGCCUGCUCCGGCCGGUCGUCCCUCGCGCUGCCCGCGCCCCUCGCCCUGCGACGCCGCUGCAUUGCCUGGACCCGCGUUGGCCUGCCUCCCAUGCUCGCUGGCCCCCUACCUCGCGCGCGGCGUCGCACGCUCACGCCGCGCGCUCCGGCCACCGCCAACCUCACCGCCCCGCCCGUGCCUGUCUCUUGCGCCGGCCGCCUUCGCCCCUGCCGCGUUGCCUGCAUCUGCCCCCUGGCCGCUCACCCCGUGCGCGUGCGCAUCCACGCUUGGACGCGCCCCAGCUCGCCGGCGCGCGCCCACGCCCCACCUCACACCCCUGCUCCCCUCGUCCCGCUCAGGCCGCGACCAUCGCCGCCGGCGCCAACUAAUUAACCUAAAACAACUAAUUAAGCCUAACUAAUUAACCUAAACCCUAAUUAACUAAAACAGUCAAUGACAGGGGGGUCGCACCCCUGUUGACGAGUCAAACGUUGACUGGUCAACUGGGUCCCUCUGGCCCACCAGUCAGUCACUAGGUACACUUUUGUGUACACUGUGCUGGGUGCGCCUAGCAAUUUAGCAAUUAUUUUUGAAUUAAAAAUAAUUUCAAAAAUUAAUAAAAUCUUUAGAAAAUCAUAUCAUUUAAUCCGUAGCUCGGAUGAAAAAACUCUGUACAUGAAAGUUGGUCAGAACGACGAGACGAAUCCGGAUACGCAACCGAUUCGUCCGCCACGCAUCCCUGGCAUAGCAAACACGCAACUUUCCCCCUCUGGUUCGUCUGUCCGAAAACGCGAAACACUGAGGGUAAUUUCCCGGAUGUUUCCCCCUUCAGUGGUACCACCUCGUACCGCGUUAGGGCACACCUAGCUUUACGCUUUGCCAUGUCAUGCAUCGUCAUGCAUUUGUUUGCAUUAUAUUUAUUGUUUCUCCCCCCCUCUCCUCUCGCUAGACACCGAGACCGACGCCGCUGCUACCCAGUACGACUACGGAGUUGACGACCCCUCUCUCUUGCAAGAGCAACCAGGCAAGCCCCCCCUUGAUCACCAGAUAUCGCCUACUCUCCUCUAUACUGCUUGCAUUAGAGUAGUGUAGCAUGUUACUGCUUUCCGUUAAUCCUAUCCUGAUGCAUAGCUUGUCCUUGCUACUACUGCUAUUACCUUUACCUGCAAUCCUAAUGCUUACUAUAGGAUGCUAGUUUAUCAUCAGUGGCCAGACAUUCUUGUCCGUCUGCCAUGCUAUACUAUCGGGCCGUGAUCACUCGGUAGUUGAUCACGGGUAUAUACAUAUACAUAAUAUAUGAUACUUGUGUUGACUAAAGACGGUCGGCUAUUAGGAGUACCCGCGAGUGAUUCACGGAUUGGGUCCGAAAGGACGUUUGUCCUGACGGCCCUCUGAGUGGAUCUUUGUGGCGAAGCGACAGGGCAGGUUGAGACCACCUAGGAGAGAGGUGGGCCUGGCCCUGGUCGGCAUUUGCAGUUAUUUCAAAAUAACACGUUUAAUGAGAUCUUGGUAUUUGAUCUGAGUCUGGCUACUGGCCUAUAUGCACUAACCAUCUACGCCGGGACAGUUAUGGGCACUCAACGUCGUGGUAUCAGCCGAAGCCUUCGUGACGUCAGCGACUGAGCGGCGCGCGUCAGAUUGGAACGUAAGCCUGCUCUUGUAUUAAGGGGGCUAGUUCUGCUUCCGGCCGCCCUCGCAACAUGUUGGUGUGCAAUGGGCGAUCGGCCCAGACCCCUGCGCCAUAGGAUUUAGACCGGCGUGCUGACCUCUCUAUUGUCCCUAGGUAGGGCUGCGACGUGUUGAUCUUCCGAGGCCGGGCAUGACCCAGGAAAGUGUGUCCGGCCAAAUGGGAUCGAGCGUGUUGGGUUAUGUGGUGCACCCCUACAGGGAAGUUAAUCUAUUCGAAUAGUCGUGAUCUUCGGUAACAGGACGACUUGGAGUUGUACCUUGACCUUAUGACAACUAGAACCGGAUACUUAAUAAAACACACCCUUCCAAGUGCCAGAUACAACCGGUGAUCUCUUUCUCACUGGGUGACGAGGGGAGGAUCAUCAGUUAGGAUUAUGCUACACGUUGCACCCUGGUGAACUUACCAUCUACUCUCUUCUCCUGCUUCAAGAUAGAGGUUACCAGAAGCGUAGUCUUCGAAAGGACUAGCUAUCCCCCUCUUAUUCCAGCAUUCUGCUGUUCAGUCCACAUAUGAUACCCUUAAUCCAUUUGAUACCAAUGCAUACAUAUGUAGUGUAGCUCCUUGCUUGCGAGUACUUUGGAUGAGUACUCACGGUUGCUUUUCUCCCCCUUUUCCCCCUUUCCUAUACCCAUUUGCUGCGACUAGACAUGGGAGUCCAAGAGCCAGAUGCCACUAUCGAUGAUGACUACUACUACUCGAGAGGUGCCUACUACUACGUGCAGCCCGCUGGCGACGACCAGGAGUAGUUUAGGAGGAUCCCAGACAGGAGACCUGCGCCUCUUUCGAUCUGUAUCCCAGUUUGUGCUAGCCUUGUUAAGGCAUUCUUGUUUUACUUAUGUCUGUACUCAGAUAUUGUUGCUUCCGCUGACUCAUCUAUGAUCGAGCUCUUGUAUUCGAGCCCUCGAGGCCCCUGGCUUGUAAUAUGAUGCUUGUAUGACUUAUUUUUAUUUGUAGAGUUGUGUUGUGAUAUCUUCCCGUGAGUCCCUGAUCUUGAUCGUACACGUUUGCGUGUAUGAUUAGUGUACGAUUGAAUCGGGGGCGUCACACCCUGCAAAAACAAGUUAGACGUCCUCUACUUUGUUGUUGCAAGUUUUACGUGGCUGCUAUGGGCUUAGAAAGAACCGUUCUUACCUACGCAUCAAAACCACAACGAUAGUUUGUCAAGUUGGUGUUGUUUUAACCUUCGCAAGGACCGGGCGUACCCACACUCGGUUCAACUAAAGUUGGAGAAACUGACACCCGGCAGCCACCGAUGUGCAAAGCACAUUGGUAGAACCAGUCUCGCGUAAGCGUAUACGUAAUGUCGGUCCAGGCCGCUUCAUCCAACAAUACCGCCGAACCAAAGUAUGACAUGCUGGUAAGCAGUAUGACUUAUAUCGCCCACAACUCACUUGUGUUCUACUCAUGCAUAUGACAUCUACGCAUAAAAGCAGGCUCGGAUGCCACUGUUGGUGUCACAUCCCUAGUCUGGUAUGACCUAGACUAGCUAGUCAUUGGUGCAUCAUGUUUAAAUCUCAUUUAAAUUUGAAAUGAGGAUUGGUGGAACCCUCAGAAUCAUUUUUGAAAAUGACCCAAAUAAAAAUUUCUCCAAAAGGGUCCAAGAAAAUGCUCAUGUUGCUCUCUGAAAUAUUGGACAGAGAUAAAAAUCAAACCAAUAUUUUUAGGAGCUCAUAGGUAUUUAUUUUGGGCAUUUGGAUUAAUCCGAUAAAUAUUUUCAUUGGAAAUAUAUUAGUUAUAUGUAUUAAUAUAUGUCCAAAAAUUAUGCCAUUUAUAAGGUAGCUCUGGAUUAAUAUAACUAGCUUCCAUAAAAAAUGGCAUAAGUAAAUAAAUUGAUUUAGUAUUAUUACUAAAUCAGAACAAAUGUCAGAAAAUUUAGAAAAAGAAAUAAACAGGAAAACCUUACCUGGGCUUCUGCCUGGCGCCUCUGGCCCAGCAGCAGCAGGCCGGCCCAGCCAGCAGGCGGCCCAGGCCACCUCCUCCUCUGUCGUCUUCGUCCUCGACAGAGGGAGGGGAGCGUGCCCGGCGUGCGCGCGCGCCACCGCGCCACGCCACCUCCCUCCCUGCCUGCCUGCCUCUCCCCUCCUCGUCUGAAUGCCCUGGAACGACGCCACGCGCCACCCCGACCUCUCUCGCACUCUCCCUCGCCCUCCUUCUCUCCCCCUGCUCUCUCUCUCUCCCCCGAGAAUCACCACCGCCGCCGACGAGCAUCACCGUAGCCACCGCCUCCCCCUCGCCUCCCCGACACGCUCCCCAGAUCCGCCGCGACCCCCUCUACCUCCUCGUCGAGCCACGCAAGACGGAGCACCCCGUGGAGCCGUCGCCGUCGCCAACUUCGCCUCCGGCCGCCGUGGAUCCUCGCCGUCGAUUCGGGAGCUACCGGGCAUCCCCGACCUCGCCCUCGCGCUCGCUGGUCUCGAUGUGAGCCCCCGCACCGAACCCCCUCCUCCCCGUGCUCGUUUUCCCCGUCUAGCUAGCUCAACCACCGCGCCCGUAAGUUCCUCGCCGCCGGCCAUGGCGCCACGGUGGCAUGAGCCCAAGCCAGCCACUCCCGCGCGCGUCACCGUGUUCCUGGUGACGCCAGGAGGCCGUAGGAGCCCUCCGCUUCCACUGCCGUGCACCACAACACCGCGGCCGCAAGUCGCCGAGCUCCGGCCGCCGCCGCGAGCUUUGCUCCGGCGAGCUCCGGCGCCCCCGCAGCCCCUCACCAGCUCCCCUGGUUGCGGACGACGACGGGCUACGCCCCGGUGGUCUUCGCGCGACCAAACGCCGCUUGUAGCGCAAGUCCGGCGAGUCGCCGCCGCGCUAUUGGUCGCCGCCGGCCAGAACUCCGGCGGGCUGACGUGGCUCUGUUAAUUAGGCACUAAUCCCCACCUACUGACGCUGACGAGUGGGCCCAGGGCUUAGUCAAAGCUAAUCAGCCAGGUUUGACUCGGGGUUAACCCCAGUGUCACUGACGUGUGGACCCCACACGUCAGGUUUGACCCUGGACAGCCGCGUUGACCCGCUGAUGUAGUGAUGACGUCAUGCUGGCGCAAUAAUAUGAUUUCUGGAUUUAAAUUAAUCAGGAAAUUCGAGAAAUUGAUUUAAACUUCAAAAAUUCAUAGAAAUUCAACCGUAGCUCAGAUUAAAAUAAUUUAUAUAUGAAAAAUUAUCAGAAAAAUGCAAUCUUUCCAUAUGUACUAGUUUCAUGCAUGAAAAACCAACUUAUACAUGCUGUAUAUGAGAAAACACAUUAUGGCAUAUAUAGGAGCUUAUCCUGGAGAUGCAUUUGAACCUUUGGUUCAAAUGGACUUCAAACCAAAUGAUUUCUAGUUGCAUUAGCUCAAACAACAUCACAUCUUUAUGCCAUGUUCAUGCAUCAUAUUGUUGCAUAUGUUUGUGUAUUGAUUGCUGGCACCGUUCCUUCUCGAUAGGUCUUGCUCCGGAGACCGUUCCAGAGUACCUGUCUGUGAAGCAGUGCCUCCUCUGUUGAUUACCAGGCAAGCAAACCCCCUUGUUCAUUCCGAUACAAUCCUACUCUCUCGCUCCUGCUCUCAGUUAUUGCAUUAGGACAACAGCGAUUCAUCUGCUACUUUGUGCUGCGGUAGUUGAACCCAUUCCUCUGCAUGACCUGUCAUUGCCACAGUAAAUAGUUGAAACCCACUAGCAUGUGUAGGAGUUGAUUGAAGCCACUGAUGUGUUCCUACCAUGCUAUGCCUGCUAUUGCUUAGAGUUGUGUCAGGUCUGAUUCAUUGGGAAUGAAUUGGAGUGUUACGAUAUGUUCUGGUGCUGAGAGUUAAGUGUGUGAACACGAUUUGGUAAAGGUAGCGGUGAGAGGCCAUGUAGGAGUACAUGGUGGGUUGUCUCACUGGAUCCGUCCUUAAGCACUGAGUUCUAUGUAUGUUGUCCAAUGACUCGAUACUACCACACAUUGGGCUCCGGGCGCUCCAAGCCCUCUCGACUUAUUAACCAACUUGAUCUCUGUCCAGGAGUCGCAACUAGUUUCUGGUGUUUGUAGGUAGUGUUAGUAGUCUACCAAGUGGCACCCGGCCAGGUGGGCUUGGGAUAGACUAGGCACAAGUGGCACGGUGUACCAAGCAUAGAUCCAUCCGGCGAUGUGGGCUUGGGAACCCUGCACACAUUGUUUGGGGCCGUGAGUGAAACCCCGGCCAGAUCUCCUUGCGGAUGGAACCCGAAUAGGCGAUAAACCUGGAUUAGAGUCUUGUGUGGUUAGUCAGGUCGUGGCCGACACCCUCGCCAGGCUUCCGCUUGAAGGUUGCCGAGAUACAUGACGUGUACAUGGCGGUAAGUGGCGAGAGCGUGUGUGAAGAAGUACACCCCUGCAGGGUUAACAUGAUCUAUUCGAAUAGCCGGGUCCGCGGUUAUGGACUUCUUGGAUGCUUACAUGGUACAUAGACAACUUGAAGUGGAUACCCUAAAAUGCUCAAGACAAGUGUGAGUGCUAUGGAUGGCCUUCUCGUAGGGAGACGGGGAUGAAUCCAUAGUAGUGUAUUGUGUGGUGAUUAGUGGACUCGUGUGCGCCAUAUCACCUCAAGAGUUUCUGGUGGUCAUAGAACAGGAUAGCCACAGAGUCAAAGCUGGCUUGCUCCAACUAAACCCCACAUUACCCUCUUGAUACAAAUGCAUGUAUGAUAGGAUCUGAUGUAAGUCUUGCUGAGUACCUUUGUACUCAUGUUGCUUUAUUUAUGUUUUUGCAGUGGAGACUUCGGUCUUACUAGUGUUCUCAUGGACUUCGACUAGUAGCUAGUACCUCAGCUACGAUCUUGAUCGGAUGUUGUAGACAGUCAGGCUUUCAGCCUUUUUCAUUUAUAGAUGUCUGUACUCAGACAUGUAAUGCUUCCGUUUGUUGCUUGAUUGCUCUGACUGUUGGGUCAUGUGACCCCUGUUUGUAAUAAUGCUAUGAUGGCUCUUCUGAGCCUUUAUCUAUAUGAGUUGUUGAGUUAUGCUGUGAUGCCAUGUUGUACAGCACAUGCUUGCAUGUUAUGCGUACGUGUAAUGUGUAUUGCUAUGUGUGGGAUCUGACUAUCUAGUUGUUUAUCCUUAGUAGUCUCUCUUACCGGGAAAUGUCUCCUAGUGCUUCCACUGAGCCCUGGUAGCUUGUUACUGCUCCGGAACACUUAGGCUGGCCGGCAUGUGUCCUUCUUCGUUCCUGUGUCUAUCCCCUCGGGGAAAUGUCACGCGAUGAAUACCGGAGCCCUGUUAGCCCGCUACAGCCCGGUUCACCGGAGUCCUGUUAGCCCAGUGCUACAGUCUGGAUUCACUCGCUGAUGACCGACACGUUCGAUGUUGGGUCAUGGAUGCCUGUCCCUGUAAGUUAGUGCCACUUUGGGUUUACGACUAGCCAUGUCAGCCCGGGCUCCUUAUCAUAUGGAUGCUAGAGACACUGUCAUAUUCGUGUGUCAAAAGGCGCAAACGGUCUCGGGCAAAGGUAAGGCGACACCCGUGGGGAUACCGUGCGUGAGGCCGCAAAGUGAUAUGAGGUGCUACAUGCUAGAUCGAUGUGGCAUUGAGUCGGGGUCCUGACAGUUGGGGAACGUAGUAAUUUCAAAAAAAAUCCUACGCACACGCAAGAUCAUGGUGAUGCAUAGCAAUGAGAGGGGAGAGUGUUGUGUACGUACCCUUGUAGACUGAAAGCGGAAGCGUUAGCACAACAUGGUUGAUGUAGCCGUACGUCUUCACGAUCCGACCGAUCAAGUACCGAACGUACGGCACCUUCGAGUUCACCACAUGUUCAGCCCGAUGACGUCCCUCGAACUCCAAUCCAGCCGAGUGUUGAGGGAGAGUUUCGUCAGCACGAUGGUGUGGUGAUGAUGUUGAUGUUCUACUGACGCAGGGCUUCGCCUAAGCACCGCUACAGUAUUAUCAAGGUGGACUUUUGGUGGAGGGGGGCACCGCACACGGCUAAGAGAUCAAUGAUCUGAAGUUGUGUCACUAGGGUGCCCCCCUGCCCCUGUAUAUAAAGGAGCAAGGGGGUGCGGCCGGCCAGGGCUAGGCGCGCUAGGAGGAGUCCUACUCCCACCGGGAGUAGGACUCCCCCCCCCCUGAGGGAGUCCUGGAUUAGGGGGUGUUCGGAUAGCCGAACUAUACCCGUGUCUAGAAGGGACUUUCCUUGGCGUGGAAGGCAAGCUUGGCGAUACGGAUGUUCAGAUCUGCUACCAUUGUAACCGACUCUAUGUAACCCUAACCCUCUCUGGUGUCUAUAUAAACCGGGGGGGGGGGGGUUUAGUCCAUAGGACAACAUACACAUCAACAAUCAUACAAUAGGCUAGCUUCUAGGGUUUAGCCUCUCUGAUCUCGUGGUAGAUCUACUCUUGUACUACCCAUAUCAUCAAUAUUAAUCAAGCAGGACGUUGGGUUUUACCUCCGUCGAGAGGGCCCGAACCUGGGUAACUCUUCGUGUCCCUUGCCUCCUAUUACCAUCCGGCCUAGACGCACAGUUCGGGACCCCCUACCCGAGAUCCGUCGGUUUUGACACUGACACCCCCUUUCCUAUUUGGAUUAGGACUUGAGGGGGAAGAAGGAAAGAGGGGGGCCGACCCCCUUGCCCUAAACCAAUUCGGUUUGGGCCUAGGGGGGCCGCCCCAUACUCCUCUUGCUGCCCUCCUUUUCCACUAACACCCAUGUAGGCCCAUUAAGCUCCCGGGGGGUUCCGGUAACCUCCCGGUAGUCCGGUAAAAUCCCAAUUUCACCCGGAACACUUCUGAUAUCCAAAUAUAGGCUUCCAAUAUAUCAAUCUUCAUGUCUUGACCAUUUCGAGACUCCUCAUCAUGUCCGUGAUCACAUCCGGGACUCCGAACAACCUUCGGUACAUCAAAACAUAUAAACUCACAAUAAAAUUGUCAUCGUAAUGUUAAGCCUGCGGACCCUAUGGGUUCGAGAACUAUGUAGACAUGACCGAGACACGUCUCCGAUAAAUAACCAAUAGCGGAACCUGGAUGCUCAUAUUGGCUCCUACAUAUUCUACGAAGAUCUUUAUCGGUCAAACCGCAUAACAACAUACGUUGUUCCCUUUGUCAUCAGUAUGUUACUUGCCCGAGAUUCGGUCGUCGAUAUCUCAAUACCUAGUUCAAUCUCGUUACCGGCAAGUCUCUUUACUCGUUCCGUAAUACAUCAUCCCGCAACUAACUCAUUAGUUGCAAUGCUUGCAAGGCUUAAGUGAUGUGCAUUACCAAGAGGGCCCAGAGAUAUCUCUCCGACAAUUAGAGUGACAAAUCCUAAUUUUGAAAUAUGCCAACCCAACAAGUACCUUCAGAGACACCUGUAGAGCACCUUUAUAAUCACCCAGUUACAUUGUGACGUUUGGUGGCACACAAAGUGUUCCUUCGGUAAAUGGGAGUUGCAUAAUCUCAUAGUCAUAGGAACAUUUAUAAAUCAUGAAGAAAGCAAUAGCAACAAACUAAACGAUCAAGUGCUAAGCUAAUGGAAUGGGUCAAGUUUAUCACAUCAUUCUCCUAAUGAUGUGAUUCCGUUAAUCAAAUGACAACUCAUGUCUAUGGUUAAGAAACUUAACCAUAUUUGAUCAACGAGCGAGUCAAGUAGAGGCAUACUAGUGACACUCUGUUUGUCUAUGUAUUCACACAUGUAUUAUGUUUCCGGUUAAUACAAUUCUAGCAUGAAUAAUAAACAUUUAUCAUGAUAUAAGGAAAUAAAUAAUAACUUUAUUAUUGCCUCUAGGGCAUAUUUCCUUCACUUGAAACUAGUGGUUUUAUUCACCAUCAACACUUGAUGUUCCUUUUUGAUUUCCUCCUCCGCUGAUUUCAGCAUUGAAUAUAACUCAGGAAUGGACUUCUCCAUCCCUUGCAUAUUGUAGUUCAUCACAAAGCUCUUAUAGCUAGGUGGAAGCGACUGGAGGAUCCUAUCAAUGAUAGAGUCAUCUGGUACAUUAACUCCAAGCUGAGACAAGCGGUUGUGCAACCCAGACAUUUAGAGUAUAUGCUUGCUGACAGAACUGUUUUCCUCCAUCUUACAACUGUAGAACUUGUCAGAGACUUCAUAUAUCUUGACCCAGUCAUGUGCUUGGAAAAUCAUUUUCAGCUGUUGGAACAUCUCAUAUGCUCCGUGCUGCUCAAAACGCUUUUGGAGCCCCGGUUCUAAGCUGUAAAGCAUGCCGCACUGAACCAGGGAGUAAUCAUCACUACACGACUGCUAGGCGUUCAUAACGUCUUGAGUUGCUGGGAAAAUGGGUGCGUCACCUAGCGGUGCUAUAAGGACAUAUGCUUUCUUGGCAGCUGUGAGGAUGAUCCUCAAGUUACGGACCUGAUACGUCUCCAUCGUAUCUACUUUUCCAAACACUUUUGCCCUUGUUUUGGACUCUAACUUGCAUGAUUUGAAUGGAACUAACCCAAACUGAUGUUGUUUUCAGCAGAAUUGCCAUGGUGUUAUUUAUGUGCAGAAACAAAAGUUCUCGGAAUGACCUGAAACUUCACGGAACAUCUUUUCGGAAAUAAUAAAAAAUCAUUGCAAAAGAUGAAGACGACGGGCCCACCACCUGUCCACGAGGGUGGAGGGCGCCCCCCUACCUCGUGGGCCCCCUCGAGCUCCUCCGACCUCAACUCCAACUCUAUAUGAUCUGGAGUCCGUUCGGGGCUCCGGAGAGGGGAAUCCGUCGGCAUCGUCAUCAUCAACCAUCCUCCAUCACCAAUUUCAUGAUGCUCACCGUCGUGUGUGAGUAAUUCCAUCGUAGGCUUGCUGGACGGUGAUGGGUUGGAUGAGAUCUAUCAUGUAAUCGAGUUAGUUUUGUUAGGGUUUGACCCCUAGUGUCCAGUAUGUUCUUAGAUUGUUGUUGCUAUGACUUUGCUAUGCUUUAUGAUUGCCACUAGGGCCCGAGUGCCAUGAUUUCAGAUCUGAACCUAUUGUGUUUUUAUCAAUAUAUGAGUGUUCUAGAUCCUAUCUUGCAAGUCUAUAGUCACCUACUAUGUGUUAUGAUCCGGCAACCCCGAAGUGACAAUAAUCGGACAACUCCCGGUGAUGACCAUAGUUUGAGGAGUUCAUGUAUUCACUAUGUGCUAAUGCUUUGUUCCGGUACUCUAUUAAAAAUAGGCCUUAAUAUCCCUUAGUUUCCAUUAGGACCCCACUGCCACGGGAGGGUAGGAUAAAAUAUGUCAUGCAAGUUCUUUUCCAUAAGCACGUAUGACUAUAUUCGGAAUACAUGCCUACAUUAUAUUAAUGAAUUGGAGCUAGUUCUGUGUCAACCUAUGUUAUGAUUGUUGCAUGAUGAACCGCAUCUGGCAUAAUUCUCCAUCAACGAUCCAUUGCCUACUAGCUUUCCACAUAUUGUUCUUCGCUUAUUUACUUUUCCAUUGCUAUUGCUAUCAUCACUACAAAAUACCAAAAACAUCACUUUUGCUAUGGUUACCUUUUGCUACCGUUACCACUACUAUCAUAUUACUUUGCUACUAAAUACUUUGCUGCAGAUACUAAGUUUCUAGUUGUGGCUGAAUUGACAACUCAGCUGCUAAUACUUGAGAAUAUUCUUUGGCUCCCCUUCUGUCGAAUCAAUAAAUUUGGGUUGAAUACUUUACCCUCGAAAACUGUUGCGAUCACCUAUACUUGUGGGUUAUCAAGACUAUUUUCUGGCGCCGUUGCCGGGGAGCAUAGCUUUGUUCUUUGAGUCACUUGAUAUUUAUAUAUGCUUAUCAUUAUGAAGAACUUGAGAGAUACAAAAACCAAGAUUUAUCCCUCAACUACGAGGGGAGGUAAGGAACUGCCAUCUAGCUCUGCACUUGAUUCACCUUCUGUUUUAGUAAGCUUUCGACACCUAAACCUGCUUCUGCUAUCCAUUCUGAUAUGUCUCAUGUUAUUGAUGAUGCCACUUCUGCUAUGAAUGAUACUUAUGAUGAAACUACUUCUAUGCUUGAUACUACUAUGCCACUUGGUGAAUUUCUUGAUGAACAACUUGCUAGGGUUAGAGAGACUAAGAAUAUUGAAUCUGAUAAUAUUAAUGCAAGUGAUGAUGAAGACUCUUCCCCUAAUAAUGAACCACUUGUUAUUCCUGAGGGUUAUUUAUUUGAUCAAGGAGCUUCUUUAGCUAUUUUAUCUUGCAAAGACAAAUAUGAACUUAAGAAGUUAUUAGCUAAAUGGAAUAAGCAAUCUCUAAAUACUAGAAUAAAACCUGACCCUGCUUUUGCUACUUCACCUAUCUUUGUUACCGAUAAGGAUUAUGAAUUCUCUGUUAAUCCUAAUAUAAUUACUUUGGUUGAAUCUUAUCCUUUUCAUGGCUAUGAAUUUGAAACUGUUGUGGCACAUCUUACUAAAUUGAAUGAUAUAGCUACCCUGUUCACCAAUGAUGAGAGAACUCGCUACUUUUAUAUCCUUAAAAUAUUUCCAUUCUCAUUAAAGGGUGAUGCUAAGAUAUGGUUUAGUUCUCUGGGUCCUGGUUCUGUGCGUAGUCCCCAGGAUAUGAUUUAUUACUUCUCUGCUAAAUAUUUCCCUGCUCAUAAGAAACAAGCUGCUUUAAGGGAUAUAUCUAAUUUUGUGCAAAUUGAAGAAGAGAGUCUCCCACAAGCUUGGGGGAGGCUUCUCCAAUUACUUAAUGCUUUGCCUGAUCAUCCUGUUAAGAAAAAUGAAAUACAUGGUGUCUUUUAUAAUGGACUAACCGAUGCAUCCAUAGAUUACCUGGAUAGUUGUGUUGGUUCUGUUUUCAGAGAAAGAACGCCGGAUGAAGCUGAAAUUCUAUUGAAUAAUAUGUUGACAAAUGAAAAUAAUUGGACACUUCCCGAGCCUAUUCCUAAACCAACUCCGAAGAAAAGAGGUGUUCUAUUCCUCAGUCCUGAAGAUAUGCAAGAGGCAAAGAAAUCUAUGAAAGAAAAGGGUAUUAAAGCUGAAGAUAUUAAGAAUUUACCUCCUAUUGAAGAAAUACACGGUCUUAAUUUACCGCAUGUUGAAGAAACUAUUGGUCUUGAUAACCCAACACAGGUAGUAAAGGUAAAUUCUCUGUAUAGAUAUGAUAAAGCUGAAAUCCCGUUUACUAAAUUCACUACCCCAUGCUUAGAUGAGUUUGAUAAAUUUAUGGCUAAGAAAGAAGAUUUUAAUGCUUAUUUUGGUAGGCAAUUGAAAUACAAUUCAAACAUGCUUGAACACUUGGGUGAUUAUAUGGCUAAUGUCAAAGGUGGAUUUAAACUUAUUAGUAAACAUGCUUCUAUGGUUACCACUCUAGUAGAACAAGUACUUAAAGCUCAAAAUGAUUUGCUCAAUGAAUUGAAUAGUAAGAAUAAUGAUAACGUUGUUAGAGUUAUGACUAGAGGUGGUAGAAUGACUCAGGAACCUUUGUAUCCUGAAGGCCAUCCUAAGAGAAUUGAGCAAGAUUCUCAGAGAAAUAAUAUAGAUGCACCUAGUCCUUCUAAAAGGAAGAAAAAGAAAAAUGAUAAGACUUUGCAUGCUUCUAGUGAACCUAUUACUGAAACACCUGAGAAUCCAAAUUAUAUUUCUAUUUCUAAUGCUGAAACACAAUCUGGUAAUGAACCUAAAACUAGUGAUAAUGUUAAUAAUAAUGUUCAUGAUGAUGCUGAACCUAGUAAUGAUAAUAAUAUAGAAAUUGAACAUGUUGUUGAUCUUGAUAACCCACAAUGAAAGAAUCAACGUUAUGAUAAGAAAGACUUUGUUGCUAGGAAACACGGUAAGGAAAGAGAGACCUGAGUUCAGAAACCCAUGCCUUUCUCUCCCAAACCAUCCAAGAAAAAGGAUGAUGAGGAUUUUGAGAGCUUUGCUGAAAUGAUUAGACCAAUCUUUUUGCGUAUGCGGUUAACUGAUAUGAUCAAAAUGAAUCCUUAUGCUAAGUACAUGAAAGAAAUUGUUACUAAUAAAAGAAAGAUACCUGAAGCUGAAAUUUCCACCAUGCUUGCUAAGUAUACUUUUAAGGGUGGAAUACCAAAGAAACUUGGAGAUCCAGGAGUUCCCACUAUACCAUGCUCCAUUAAAAGAAAUUAUGUUAAAACUGCUUUAUGUGAUCUUGGAGCCGGUGUUAGUGUUAUGCCUCUCUCUUUAUACCGUAGACUUGAUUUGAAUAAAUUGACACCUACUGAAACUAGUAGAGUGCCCGUGCAUUGCCACGGGCUCUUGAAAUAGUUUGCAAGAUUUACAUGUUAAAUUUCACAUGUACAAACAAUAUAACACAAACAUAAUUAAUGAAUAAUUGAAGUCCAUUUUUGCAAUGUAAAUUGAUAAGAAAAAGAAAAAUUAACAGCAUGUCCAUGUAACAAACUAAGCGAUGUUCCAACUAAACAUCUAUUACAAAACUAUUAAUAUCUAGAUGAUGCGCUUAAGAAAUUCUUUCACAAUGUUAGGAAAGUUGCCUUUAGCUUCAUUCCCACGAUGUUUUAGCAAGUAUAAUAAAAACCGCUUCCUCAACUCAUACCUAUCCUACACAAACAAUAUAUGUAAUUAGUAUGAAAAUUUCACACCAAAGGUGUAACGGAUGCGUUGCCACUGGCAUUUCGAACAAAAAAUACUGGUUGCAUAUAUAAUCAUAAGACAUGUCAAUUUUCCAACUUGGCAUAGCAAGUGAGUCUAAAAUUUCAAGACUUGCAAUAUCAUUGUCCUUGUUGAUUCAAAAUAGGCACUAUAAAUCUCCUAAAAAAUAGGCACUAUGAAUCUGCAAAAAAAACCAUCCUAAACUCUGUACUUAAUCCGAAGAAAUAGUUGCUUUGUUAUUCUGAUAAUCUUGCUUGUACAAUUAUGAUAGUUACCAUAAUCACCUAGGAGUUUUAAUUUUUGAAAGGAAAAAACAACAACAAUCAUUAGGCCCUUAAGAGAUCAUGACAUGAUUCUGAGUCUGACCAGCUACAAGAUAUAUCCUUCCUGAUAUUCAGAUCUAGUGGGAAAAACUACUACCCAACAAUAUACAUAUAAUAUAAUUGAAAAUGUUUACUGCAUUCGCUAAAUAAUCAUGGGAACAAAAAAUGACUUGGGGCUUCAAGAUCGAAAAGUAUAUACACAGGCUCGAUGCGACGAAGCUAGCAAAGAACAUUGAGAUGGUUUCAAUGUAGGAUUUGUCUCGAUUUUAAGGGACUUUCACGUGCCCAAAUCGCCCCCAUCUUUGUCAGCCACACCUAAUAGAAGCAACAUAAAUGGCUAUGCUGUUUUCGAGAACCUUCGCUAGAACAAUCACAGGAGAACACCUGGCAACAACGUAAUGGCACGAGAGCUUACUACUGCCCUCACACAGAAAUUGCAAAUCGCGGCAAUCAAAAUGGGAGACUUAAUGUGCCGACGUGAGAAUCUCUCUGGUAACAAAGGUGAAAAGGUGGGGAUGUAGUCAGUUCAUUGUUAGACUCAUUAACAAUAACAGUGAUGGGUAAAAAGAGAGGCCACCUAUAGUCCCCAUCUCUAUCUGAUUUACCUGAACAAAGGCUACAUAAGAAAAUAUACCAACCCAGAACCAAUGUGCACCAGCUUCGUACAGAGUUUCUAAAAAUGUAGAGUAGAAAGAAAAGCAGAUUGUCAUAUACCAAUCAACGUUUCAUUCUUAAUUUGCAUGGGAUCUCCAUUGCCUACGCUGCCCUUCAUCACUCCCAACGGCCUCGCUCCACCUCCACGACACCUCGGAUGACCGCCGCACAGUGUCGCACCACGGAUGAUGCUCCACCUUCCGCAUCCUACCUCUGGUCCCUGCUCCAUGCUCGCUCAUGCCCUAUGGCCUCCGCCGCGCUCGCGCUGCUGAGCCACCUCCACCCCUGUCUGAUCUCUUCCUCUCUCUCGAUCUAGCGAGAUCAUGGCUGGAAAGUCAAAGGCCUCUCUCCUUCUCGAUUUACUGAUCCCAUGGCCUGAAAGUCUGACAACGUAUUUGGAUUGAAGCCAGACUUUAACUGAUGGAUUCCCUAACUUUUCUUUGAGUUAUAAAACCCUAGGCCCGCAUGAUUAACUAAAAUGCCCCAUUACUUAACCCCAGGCCACGGGCCUUUUGUUGUAUAAAUCUCUGUGAAUUUUUUACCUCUUUCAGCGACAUCACCUCUACACCAAUGUCACAUAUGGAAUUUUUUUGAAUGUCGAGAUAAUCCAUCUUUAUCUCUCUUAUACACUACAAAAAUAAAUAAAUAUAUUAAGAAUAUAUAAACACACCUUUUGUAUUAUCAUGCGUAACAAAUAUAUUAAGAACCAUUAUUUGUAUGCAUCUCUUAUGAUUGUUAAAACUCGAUACUUUUUUGGUCCAUUCCAUUCUAAACAUGACUUGUUAGUGUAUCUGAUGUUUUCCCUCAGCAGAAAAAAGGGUAUCUGAUGUUUUCAACUAUAUUAAAAUAUGUGACAUUUUUCUCACACCAAACUACCGCUUUCCCUAUAUCACUAUAUAAAAGUAUGUGACAUUUCUCUCAUAGCAGUCAAACGUUUUCCCUAAAAAAGUGUCGCUCCUUUUCUUUUUAUUCUAAAAGAGCAAUUCACUCUCUCCUUCUCUCAUCGCAUGGCACAACGCUCACCCUCAUAUCGCAUUCCACAACAAUGCUCAAACUCAUACCUGAUCCCCCUAGCUUCUCUCCUCCCUGAUGUUGUUGGCAUCAAGGAACGCCACGAAAUUCCAGCGUCGUGUCUCCUUCUGUCCAUAGUGUUGCCCUCCCCCUCUACGCCAUCCUAGUGCAAUUUCCCAGUGCCAUGGAAUGUAUGCCGUCAUCCAACGGCGACCACCACAGCGUGUUUUGUUACCAUGAUAUAUGAAAUGGUAUAUAUCACGUGAUCCUUACGCCUCCUCUCAAUGCACACAUGAAGUACGGUCUACUAUUUGAUUCGUAAUAUUUUCAUGUUUAUAGCCGAUCACAAUUUCAUACACAUAUCCGCCAUGGGGUGUAAGAAGGCAAUUAGAAAGUUACCAAACGGACCAAAAGUGAAUUUAUUCGCGUAUUCAAAAAAUAAAAAAUCAGGAUUCGUGAUUGGAUUGAUGAUAUUGGAAUUUAAUUAUGAUGCCAUCUCUUUGUAGCAAGAAAAAUCAAGAUUUCACCUUGUUAUUCUAGUGACAUAUGUGUUUGGAAGUAAGCUACUUCUUCAGGUCAACAAAGAGUAAGCUGAUAAUAAAAAGAGUAUGAUGUCUCUCAUUUACAAGGUGAAUGUGGGCAUGUGCUUGUUCAUAUGAAGGUGAGUUUGCUUCCCAUUUAUGGUCUUAAGCUGGAGAGUAGAGGAACUGAGAUAGACAUGUCUGAUUGUGGACAUGUUUUCUAUUCCGGCAAUUUCAGUGGCAUAUUGCCAGGCUAUGACAGUGGGCUACCAUGGGCGCAGCUCACCCCAUUCUCAAAAUAAUUAUGCAAAUCUCAGAUGGUAAAGUCCAAGGAUGCCCAAAAAUCUAUAGUGGAAGUGAAAUAAUGCUAUUGUUUUACCUUUGAAAGGGUAGCCUGGCAAUAUGAUAAUCUAAACUUUAACAUUAGACACUUACACGCACCCUGGGUACUGGUCAUCAAUAAAUUUUCUCCGGUCAAUAGUCAGUAGUUCAACUAUCCAGAAAGCAUAAUUAUUAGAGGAUUAGAGCGAACAAACACGGAUUAGUUGAUCAUACUCGAUUAUUAGAGGAGUUGGGCAGGAAAUCAAGUGACCAAACCUGAACUGCAAGCAAACCCAUAAAGCAUGGCUUGUCAAAGAGGUGAGUGUCGGUGCCAAAUGCUUCAUGUCAUCCUGUACAAGUUCGAGAAAUAAGCAACUCUGAACUCCAUUGAAGACAUCCUUUUAAAAUAUUAAAACGGAUGACACAACACAUAUUCAGUGUUAUUUGUGAGGCUACCUUUUUCUAGGAAUGGAUCAGAGAAUUUCUAGCUUCCCAUAUACAUCAGUGCAAAUUAAUCCCAGGAAAAGCAAGUGAGGGUACCUUUUUGUGUGAAGGUAGUGAAGGCAUCAAGCUAAGUGCAACAAAUUUUUCCUCGACCACGCACACAUAUAUUCCUUUAUGUAUUGAUGAACUAACAUGCACCACAUAUCUCCUAUCUAAAUUUUACGGCUCGUCAUCUAUAUCUCUACUACCUAAAAUCACUCUAGCCAUCUGAAAUUAGAUGUCAAUAACCAGUUGACUUGCAUCAGAAGUCUACCGUGAUACAUACAAUUUAUAGUAAAUUUUACAUGAAGCAAACCCCAAUUACAUGGAAAAAGGAACAUUACUUCUAAGAGUACAUGAAUUAGUAACACACAAUUUUCUUUGUCUGGUAAAACAUGUAUUCAACCAGUUGGAACCGGGACCAAGACGAUUACAGACUACAGACUACAAACGUCACUUAUCACCCACCAAGUCUUGAAAACUUUGGAUAUAAGUAGUAUGAACUUUAAGGGGCCAAAUCCUCAGUGCACUGCUCGCUCACGUGCUAAUCUAAUAAAAAAGAAAUCAGAAAAAGAUGCAGGUUGGCCCCCUAUCCUGAAGCUACUACUGUGCUCUCUAGGAACAUAGUCUGAAAGACGAAAUAAACAGCAGCGACCUUGCAGUAGAGGGAGGUGUGUACGUACCAAAUGUACUCGGCGACGACCCGUUGGUCUCGACGGCGAGGGCCAGAUCCUUGAACAUGAAAGCUCCUCCAGGCGCCGAACACCCUUGCUCCCUUAGGGCCGAUUCUAGAUUCUCGUUGAAAUCUUAAUACAACAGCAGAAACUGCUACUUUUAGUCAGAAAUAAAUGCAAUUCAAAACAUGCUGUGUUAGGCUGUUAGCAAUUGAUCAACCAAUAUAGGUUGCCUUGAUGAUGUUGUUGUAGUUGAGAGCCACAACUCCCCACGGACCCAGGACAUCUGAUCGGACUCCUUGCCAUUUCGCCACCCACCACUUCCUAUAUCUAAUGAAAAUACAUUAAUUGAUACUGAACCAAAAUGGACAGGAAUAUUUUACCAACAUUCACGUGAAUGCUGGCAUGUUUGAUAACUAAAGAUGUUAUAGAGGGAUAUUAAAUACAACCAAAAAAUGUAGCCAUGUUAAUAGAAUUUAGUACAUAAGUUAGAGCAUGAAACAUGAGAUUUAGUUACACUAUAUAUGUGGUGAAGUUGUGGCCUUUUAUUCCGUUAAGAGGGAUGUCGUGUACUUCCUUCGUCCGGAAUUAGUUGGCGCUCAAACUGAUGUAUGUAACACUGAAACAACCACAUACUUCAAAUUUGAAAUACAUAACUGAAUCUUUGUGUAUACAUUAGACAUAUUCACUCAAGCAAAAAAACAAAUUUUGUUUCUAUGUAACACGACUUAUAGUACCAGCAUGUCUGGCUAUGUUAUUCCUCACGCCAAACUAUAUAUUUUUCUCUGUCGACAACCUGUCCAAAAAGACUAUGCCUAAUUGCCUCUGUGCGAUGCGGUAAACGUCUUGGCUUUCCUGGCCAGACGUGUUGCGUGUUAAAUAGCUGGGUUGCGAGCCCCGGAUACGCGUACAGAUUGUUGGGAUACAUCUCUUGGAGAGAAAGAAAAUACUAGAGAUAAGAAAGAUAAAGAUUACAUAGUAUGCUAGCUAACUAACUACUCCACGGGAUGAUCUUGUACCGACGCAACUCCUUGACAUACAUGCAAUAUCUCAUGUUUGACAGCCUCAAGCUAGUACCAUUCCACCACAAAUGUGCAGAGGCAUGCGUCAUCUAUGCAUGCCUGGUGCGGCCUUCCUCUUCGGUCUUAUCAUCCACCUGGCCGUCGGCGAAAUGUCCCAUCCUACCUGCUCAUUGUCAAGUAUAACCACGCUUCCAACGCGACAUUAUCGUGAGUAAAAAUGCAUGCAGAACAUUACAAAUAUCAAAAUAUCUAAAUGUAUAGCUUUCAAAAGUAGGAUUUAAUAUAGCUUUCAACAGGAUUAAUCUGUAAUAUAAUCAAGCAUGGGCUAGAUUAUCAUUGAGAAAGCAUACUACAGAAGCAAGCUGAAGCUACCCGCUCUUAGGUCUAUAGUGUAUAUUGUACACCAUACAAGCAUAAUUUUGAGAUCAACGCUACAACUUUGUCAUGCAUCAGGGUAUGUUUGUUUUGAAAAGAACACAAGCUGUGUGGGCUGUUCUACAACUGAUCUAAUGACGACGUGAACAUAAAAAUGGCACGUGAUAUCUACAAUUGAUCCAAUGAACUAAAAUUGUCCCAUAAGCCACUUUUUCCACUGUUUGGCUCAUCCAACAACAACCUUUAUAAAAUAAGAAAACACACAACACAUAAAUUGAAAGACCUAAUAGAAUAUGGAAGUGUUCCUAGCUCUAGCAACAUUGCCGACAUAUGCAUCUCAAGCAACAACAAACCAUGGCUCUUCUCCGUUUCUGAAGCAAGUUAAUUAAUAUGACAAAAUCAGAAAUAAAUCUAUAUUCUUUUCUAAUGGAUAUCAAUCUAUAAAUCUGAAUUAUAUUUGAGGCCACAAAGUGUAGCUUUUACCAUAACAAUACUGUACAUUUUGAGAAAACACUAAAUUAAUCAUGAGUAGAUCAUGAGAUUACUCGUCAAUUUUAGUGAGCCCAGCCACUCCUUACUUACACCUAUUCUUUUAAUCAACAUGCGCCUUUAAUUCCUCCAUGGCAGCAUACAACCACCAUCAUGCUACGUGGGGUUUAACACUCCCGCAGAAAUUAGAGCAAAACAAAAAAAGAACUAUGUUGCGCAUACUUUCACCUCAUCUACUCACUAUAAUAUCUAGAAUUUGGAGCUGAGAAUAUACCUGCAGACAAAUAAUAUAACAUUGAUGGGGAUCCCUAACAUCUCAACCAAUCUGUUAUCCUCCAGAUUGAGACUACUUGUAAAGUAACUUUCUGCACUAAAUCCCUUGCCUGUAACGAUAAAUGGUUGUAUUUGCAUUGUACAUUUUUCUAAGGCGGGUCAUGAAUCUGGAAGAUCUUUCAACAAAACAUUACACCUAAACAUUUCAUCUACAAGCCUGCUCGUCCCAACUUUACACCUAAACAUUUCUGUAUGUGGGUGUAUCACAUCCAUGCCCCGUCAUAUCUUGAAUGGGAAGUCAUAUGGCUAGAGAUCAAAGGGAUCAACACCUAAGGUUUUUAUUUCUUAAAUAAUCGGCCAAACCGCCAGCCAAUAUUGAUUUUUAGAAAGUAAAAGUUAAGCACAAUAUGAAUAUACAAAUGGAAAUUCUACACUUUAAAUGCGUACAUCAUCUUCUCAAGUGAAAUAAUAAAGACUCCCCUGUUCGUUAGAAAAAAGAAACUCCCAUGUCAAGGUAAUCUUCCUAGUACAACCACUUGUUGUGCUUCCUUUAAAGAAACUAAUAAGGACAAACCGUCAUUAGGAACUUCGGAUAUCAACACAAAUCCUUAAUUUGGAUCGCUGUAAAAUAUAACCAAGGAUAUAAGCACCAAAGCUACAGUAGCAGUUAGCAUAUGCUGAAUCAUAAAGGAAGAGCCGAAGAGGAGAGCAUAGAAAAAAUAGCAUGUGGUCUUCAUAUGCUGAAAAUGAGAAUCAAUAACCAAGUAGAUUCAGUAUGGGGAUAGAUUCAGGCCUGAAAAGGUUGCAGUCUCUCUCCUUUGCUUUACUGCAUAGGUCAUUUUUUAUUAGAGGUUCCAGCUCUACACAGUACCUAUGCAAGUGCCUAAUCAGGAUACAUGUCACUGUUGAAACGCAAAACAAAAAACCACAACAACCAUUGAACACAAACAAGAGAAGAGGAGAAAUCUUACACUUCGAUGAAAUAGAUAAUACACAUGCAUUAGUUACCUCACACUUGCUGAGCUUGAAGAAUUUGAUGAAGAUGAUGUCAGUGUACAUUGUACUUAUGGGAUUCCUUUGCAUCCAUGGACGCGCCAAAAAAGCUGCACAUAUUAAGGAAAAAAAGUGUUUGAUGACAACAAGUUAACAGCCACACAAAUCCAAGGCGGCGUAUAAUCUUCGUGUUUGGGCUUAUUGUGCUAAGGAUGCCGAAAAGCUGCAGGUGCAACAACGGGUGUAAAUUCAACACUGCCGCAUGUGUUUCUCCAUUGUCCACAAAUAUUAAAUUUCAAUAAUUUGCAUAAGCCCUGAACCUUCUGCAUUCCUUAAUUCAAUGUUCAGGUGAACAAAAUGAAUAUU
rnacentral:lncRNA from 1 species